rnacentral:lncRNA from 1 species
GAACAACAGACUUUUGAGUGCUAAAGGUCCGAUUCAGGUCCAGGUUUAUCAGAUGCGGAAAUUGCAUGGAAUUAGGACUCUUAACAAGUAUGGGUUGAAACUCAGGAAUUAAGGACGCAAAGUGUAUGUGGUCUCAAGAAGAGGUGACAAGGAAGAAACAGGGGUGUCUGAAUGUUUGAUGUUCGGAACCUCUCCCAUGAAUGUCAAAUUUUGCAAUUCCUUCAAGGGACGAGCAAUUGGUUUUGGAAACUUGUUUCCGAGACCAGGUGCUUUAGACCAUGAAUGAUGAAAAUUAUGAGUCAUCCGUUCGUUUGGUUCAAGAAUGUCUAUAGAAUUACGCAAAGCAUCUAUCUUAGCAUUGAAACGUUUCUUUCAGAAUAGGUGAUUUCACAUUUGUCUUUUAAAAUGAUACAUUCAUCAUUUGACAUUAAAAGCUCAUGCUCUAAAGACUCAAUUUUCGACUUCUUAUCCUCAAAAUGUAACUUAUGACGAUUUAAUUCACACUCCUUCGCACUAGCUUCAAUGGCAGACUCAUAGGCUUUAUAGAUGGUGAUCAUAUAUGUUUGGAUAUGGGUUAGAUAAGGUUCAAGGAAGACAAAUCAAAAUUAUUAUUAGUAAUCACAAAUUUUGCCUACUAGACAAUGCUUCAACCAGGUGGAUCGUUGGUAGCCAUGUAGAAGUAGUGUGGUUCAACAACAUCAUCUUCAUCUUCAGAACCAUAUGACCAAUAGCCAUCAUCACAUUCAACGGUUUUUCUUGCCAUCAAGCACAUUUUCUAUCCAAUCACCAUGUCAUCAUCAUCUUCGGAUGACCAAUAUCCUUCAACAUCCCUUGAUACAGUUGUUACAAAAGUUUUUUUGCUUUCUGCCAUCUCUUGGGCUUUUCGGAUGUAGUAAGCAGAGUCCUUGAUCUUUGGUUUUUGCGGAGCUUCAGCCAAGCAAUAUUUUGCGAAAAGUUUUUCAUGUCCACACUUAUGACACACAAUUUUUGGCUUGUCAAAUUUUGGAUUUUGCUGUGCUUCCGAAGUAGUGUUUGGUUUUGAAAUGUUUGGUUUGUAUUAGGGAGGAUUUUCCGAAGUUCUUUGAGGUUUCAGAGCUGAAUAUGGUUGAGGAUUGUUUUGGUGAGGAGCAUGGAAACGGUUUUGGUAUGGUUUGUAAGAGGGAUUAAAAGGAUGUUUGUAUUUCAUGGAGAGUAGAGCAAACUCCUGUUGGAAACGGAGUUCAGAGUCCAUAGCUUCAGAAUCAUCAACAUGAUAGUUUUGUGUGGGUAAGACAGGUAAGGAAGAUUGAACUGAUGGAAUAAUGGGUUUGAAAGGAUCCGAGGUGGAAGGGUUCAAAAUGGUUGGUUCAUAGCAACUAACAAGAGCAAGGGGACCUCUGGAGAGUUCCCUAAUGAUCUGAGCAACAUUGGAUUCAUGUCCUUGUAGUUCAUUAAAAAGUUAUAGAGUUUUAACUUUUUCAAGGAACCAUUACUUUGCAGACAGGAUUUCACAUUUCCCCAUGCUUUACCGAGGCUGUUAAUGAACUUGACAUUGUACUCCAAGGGAGGUCGGAUAAUCCCAUGCCCACUCAUGUUGUUAACAACAAUUCAGUAUCGGUUAGAGGAUGAGGCUACUGAUUCACCAUGAGUGGUAGUGAAGGUGUCAAAUUCAUUGACAACCGAAGUAAGACGCUUGUCUUUCAUAUUUUCCGAACCUUCAAUAAGGUCUUGAAGAGUGUCCCAAAUCUCUUUUGCUGAUUUGCACAACUUAAUGUGUUUGAAGAGUGAAGGAGGAACAACAAACACCAUUUCCGAGAAGGCAACUUGAUCAGCAUGUAGCUUCUCAAUAUCUUCAGCUGUCAGAGGACCUGGAUGAGUCUCAUCUUGACCCAUAAGUUGAACAGCAACAUCUCUUACAACUAUUCUUACAGGAACAUGAGGGCCUUCUUUGACAGAUCUCCAAAUAGCUUCAUCUUUCUCUUUAGCUAGUAAAAAUCUUUCCAUUCUAACUUUCCAGUGAUUAUAUUCUUCCACAACUAGCAGUGGGGCACGUGUAGGGCCACCCACACUAUUUGCGAUUUGCAUUGAAAUAAUUUGUUGAGGAUUAGAAGCAACCAUUGAAGUUAAGUUAUCUUCAAGCAAAAGUGGUAUAUAGAAGAACUUUUAUCCUUAAUACAUACAUGUUUGAAACACCAAGGUAAUUUCAAACAAACUAUAAUCUGAUCUUAUGGAUUCAAAGGACAACCACUCAAGCUGUGAUACGAAUUGUGAAAACAAGAACAAUCUAAUAUGCAGGCACAAGGUUUGAAAAUUUAAACCUUGAGUGAACCCUUAAGAUCAAUGUCUGCUAGCUAAUAAAUGAUCUAGUCAAGCCUGGAUAGACCAGUCAAGUCUAAGUUAAUGCAUUCAACAAGUGAUAAAAUAAUAAAUGAAGAAUGAGAAUAAAGAUCAAAGUAAAGUUAAUAAAUGAAGAACAAGACGAAUGUUUGAGAGAAUAUUCAGGAAGAUGAAGUAACUUGAAUGUGCUAAGAGUUUUGAAUAAUCCAUCUAUCUUUUGAUUUCAUAUUGGAUGCUCUUAUAAAUAGGAGUACAAGAACAUAGUACUAACCAAUUACAUACAUAUGACUGGAUAAGAGAGUAACAUCUGACACUCUGAAUAUCCGAUUUGACUAAAGAGAAAGUCCUAUGACCGGUUAAAUCAAACUAAAGACAAAUUACAUUAAAUACGACAAGACAAAAUAUUGAUCUCGGAACACCAAACAUUCUGGACUUAAACAUCCAUUCCGGAUUGCCUUCACUCUUGAUCUCCUUAUCACCAAAGAUCUUGAAGUCCGAACAUAAAAUAAUUCUGGACCAGACUUUACUUUGAACCACCAGUUGACUUCGGAAUCACAGUGAGACUUACGAUUGCUAGAGGUUCACUUUCAAGCUCGAACAUUAUUUAAGAAUAGAUGUCUACCAUGGAGGCAACUAUUCAAAACGCUCAUCAACCAGAGAAUAUUGUUGGCACCUUAAAUACCCCUCUAAAUGUAGAAGAUCACAAUACAAAUGACGAUGAAACUGCCAUUGAAAUAAGCCCAGCUCCUAUGUUUGGGAUUGAUGAAGAGAAUUUUGAGGAUGUUCAGCAACCCCUUCCCUCAGAUGAAUUCAUAAUGGUUCUAGAUGAUGAAAAAUCGAGUGGAUCCCAACACUCCACCUCUAACCCAAAACAAAAGUAGAAGAAGAAAAUUUUCAUCUCCAAGAAUGAAUUCCUCAGCUUACAAGCUAAGGUUGAUCAGAUUCUCGUUGUGGUAUCAGCUAAAGCACUGCAACACUCACUGGUUGAAAGAAUAGAAGUGUUAGAAACAAGAGAAAGUCUAAAUGCUCAAUGCAUUAUUAUUCGACUCGAAAUGGGCAUCAAGGAUCUUGACAACUGCAAAACCGUAGAUCACAAGGAGUUCAUGUCCACAGCAUAUGUCACACCCCAAAACCAGAACGCCGGAAAUUUUCUAGGGUGGAGGACGUCAUGUUUAGUAUCACAAGACAUGAAUCAUAGUAAUCAGAGUAAUAAACAACCAUUUCAUUAGAAAGAAAGUGUUUACAAAGUAUGUGUUCACAAAACAUAGAAUACAUAAGCAAAUAACAAAAAAAGACUUGGAGCUAUACUACUCCAUCUUCUGUUUAGAAAGCUUAGUAAGAUGUAGUAUGUUUUUAAGUUUUGUUGAGAAAGUUUGCCUAUUCCUCCAGAAAAUCCUAUAUUUCCUGCUUUAAUGAAAGAUAAGUAAAAAUGACUCUACAAUCCUUUCUAUGAGUACUAAAUGGAUACAAGUUAUAUAAAACUCAGAGUAAACAAACAAUGGGUUGUGUGUGUCUGCCCUAAGCCCGCAACCAAACAAGGAACAGCAAAUGAGGCAGAAGGCACACAACCCAUUGGUUGUUCGAUCAUCGUUGUAUAUAACCCUGGCGUAUUCACUUGGUACUCACAGAGUUAACUGUAAUAGUUCCUUUGUAUUUAAUGAAAAAGACCCUUUAAGAAAACCCUUAUUUCUUAUAAUAAAAAUAGUAACCACAGUGGUUCCUUCUAUAAUCACUUAGUUUAUACUAGCUAUAUAUAAUCUAAUAUCGGAUAGAUAGUUAAUUGUGUGAAUCUGCCGUAAGCCCACAAGCAAACAAGGAACACGAAAUGAGGCGGAAAACACACAUCCAACUAGGGGUGAGCAUUUGGACCAGUGGACCGUACCGGACCGGUGAACCGGAUUGGACCAUUUUUUUGGACCCCCGGGCCGGUUCUCGGUUCUAAGAUUUCUCUCCGGUCCGGUCCUCUUUUUUUCCCGGUUCGGUCCGGUUUUUACCGGGUUUAGAACCGGUUGGACAUGAUUAAGAUUUUUGUGACGUUUUUUAAACACGCAUAACUCAUUCAUUUUAAGUCGGAUUGACCUGUGGUUUUUUCCAACAUUUAGUUUACAGUUUGUAGAUGAAUUUAGACUAUAAUUUUGUUUAUUUUGGUAUUAUAUUCACCGUGUUGCAAUCCUUCAAAGAAGAGCUAUCAAAGCUGAAAAAAUUCAGCUUUUCAGCAGCAUAUUGUAAUCUGUGAUGUUUUUUAAACACCCAUAACUCAUUCGUUUUAUGUCGGAUUGACCUCCGAUUUUUUCCAACAUUUAGUUUACAGUUUGUAGAUGAAUUUAGACUAUAAUUUUGUUUAUUUUGGUAUUAUAUUCACCGUGUUGCAAUCCUUCAAAGAAGAGCUAUCAAAGCUGAAAAAAUUCAGCUUUUCAGCAAGAUUUUGUAAUCUGUGACGUUUUUUAAACAUUCAUAACUCAUUCGUUUUAAGUCGGAUUGAUCUACGGUUUUUUCCAACAUUUAGUUUACAGUUUGUAGAUGAAUUUAGACUAUAAUUUUGUUUAUUUUGGUAUUAUAUUCAUUGAGUUAUAAUCCUUCAAAGUAGAGCUAUCAAAGCUGAAAUAUUUCAGCUUUUUAGAAUUAUUUUAUACUAUAAUUCCAAGUCCGCGUUUAGCACAUGUGGUAGAGUUGUAAGUGAGUAUCAGACUAGUUUAUCGACAUUGCUAGUUGAAGCUUUGUUAUGCACCCAAGAUUGGGUGAUAAAGUUUACAAAUCCGAUAGUUGACAACGUUGAUGACAUCUUGAACGAUGAUGAUAUAGCUUUGGGUAAAAAAAAUACAAGCUUUAUUCUUUUUUUAUACAAUUAUUACUUUUUAUUAAAUACUAACAACAUUUUCGUUUGUGUUUAUGUAGAGAUUGCACAAGCUUUAAAUAUGUUACAUAUGGAUGACAAUGAUAUGGGGAAGAGGCCAAUGGAAGAUUAGAUUAUGAGUUUAUGAAAUUCGUUAGUUUGAUUGAUUUUAAAGUUUAAACUAUCAUUUUUGUUGUUACGAUAAUAUUUUUGUAUGUUUGUCUUAAAAUUGUUUAACUUUUGUUGGUGUUGAUUUAUAUGUUAGUCGCUUUUAUUUGGAAAAUUAAUUUUUGCAAAUUGCAAGUUAUAAUAUUAUACAUCAAUGUAGAUUAGUUAGGCAUGAAACGGAAACAUAUUAAUUUUGCAAGUUAUAAUAUUAUACAUCAAUGUAGAUUACUUAUUAUACUCUAUGCAAUUAAAGUUGUACCGGUCCAAACCGGUCCAAAAACCGGAAAACCCGGACCUAGACCCGGACACGGACAUGGACACGGACACGACUCAUCCGGUCCGGUCCAUGGUCCACAAAAUUCUCCAUAACCGGUCCGGUCCAAGAGCCGGUCUGGUCCGGUCCGGUCCGCGCCGGUCCAAAUGCUCACCCCUACAUCCAACUACCUAUCGGAUAGUAAGUAUAUAUAACAUUGAUGUAUAAACUAAGUUAUUAUAGGAUUAACCACCUAAGGUUCUUUAAGAUAUACUAGUUUAACAAAAUGCAUUAAACCCUUUACUAGUAAGUUUCUAGUUUUGUAUACCAAAAAUUCUGAUUUGAAAAGUAUGUUUUGUACUAGAAAGUUGUGCAUUGUAUUAGUGUCUUAUGACUUGACCCAUACCUGGUACCCCUUAUGAUGACUUAAUGUAUACAAGACAUAUACAUCACUAAGAUCAAAUGGAUAAUAGGAUGGGUAAAUCCACUCUAAGCCCACAACCAAACAAGGAAUUGGAAAUGAAGCGGAAGGCACACAUCCUAUAUCCUGUCGGAUCCUAUUUAUACAUAUCCCUUGAUGUAUACAUUAAGGAAUCAUAAGGUUAGCGUUAUGGUCCCUUUAUACUGAAUGUUCAUGAUACGAAUAAGUUAUGUAUCAUAUUUAUUAUUGUCGGGUACUUUACUGAAGUACCCUUCAUAAAUAAAUAACUUAGGUUGGAUAUAAUUAUCACCUCGUGCCUGCUAACCCUGGUACGUGAAAUCGUACUGGUGUCAACGCAAACCCGGAAAGAUAUUUUAUUAAGUUUUAUCACCCCGUGUCUACUAAUCCUGGUACGUGAAAUCGUACUAGUGUCAAUGCAAACCUGGAAAGAGAUAUUAAUGUGUUUUUUUCAGUACUUUGUUAUAGUAUGUUCCUCCCUGUUUCUCUUUAUUGUGUGUUCUCUUAUGUUAUCGAGUAUUGUAUCUAGUAUGAACUGAACCUCUAAACUAUACCCAUUAUAGUUUACUAGUAUUUUACUUGAACUGUUAUUGAAAAGACUCAUUUAUCUACUAAGUUAUGCUUGUGCUUUAUAAACGGAGUUUUUGUUAAACUAUAAUGCAACAUAACUUUAAAAGAGUUUUUGAAAUGUUUUGAUCACUUAUAAAAGACAUAAGAAAUCUUUUGAAAGAUGUUUAUGACAAACAUUUACACAAUUAUGACUGUGUUCAACUUGUAUUCCCCUCCUUAAAAGCAUUUAAAACAGUUAAAACAUUUAUUACGGGGUAUGGACUCACCUUAUGUGGAUGAUUCAAACGAAUAUGUGUAUAAGGAUGAGAAGCUCCACGAAUGAACUCCCGAGACUUAACGAGUCCUAAAUGACAUAUAAUGGCAUACAUUAACAUAAUUAUAGUGUUUAAAAGCAACCAACUGCACUGAAACACCUCACGGGACUAGGAAACACCUUGACCAAGUGUUGGAAUCGCAUGUCAUCGAACUAAGGGGAGUGUACGACCAAUAUGAGGAGUGUAUGGCCAGGGAGUGUGCGGCUGCACACUCAUGGUCAAGAGUGAAAAAAAACGUUUUCCAAUUGUAGGGAGGCUGGUGGGACGAUUGCUCAACAAGUGAUGAAGCUAGAAUUGCAUUUUAGAGGCCUUAAAUGGUUGUUUUGAGGGGUGUACGUCCACACAUGGGUGUACGGUCACAGACACCUUAACAAAUGGUAAAAAUUGGUCAAAAGUUGGUCCCAAGCCUCUAACUUCAAUCCCCUAAGUGUUCUUGAUCAUGUGCUUACCAUAAACAGGAGUUUGAAGCCAAAUAGCACCAAACAAAGGGGUGUAAGGCCACAUGGGGUGCGUACGGCCGUACAUUCCUUGAUGAUCAUGUUUUGUGCAUUUCUUAAGGUGUUAAACCAGUGUUCUAAUAAGUACUAAUCAUAAGGAAGGAGUACUUACGAUUUGAAGGUUCAAAAGGGUUCACAAUCACCAAGAACUAGUGUGUGUUCUUGGUGAAUUGGAUGAAGAUUUGAAGAUCUAGCCAAAACAUGAUUUCAAAUGGAUGAAAUCAAAGUAUAUAACUAGUUUAAGAAGAUUAGUAGCAAAUCAAGGGAAGAACACUUACAUUCUUGAAGAUCUAGGAUGAAAAUUGGAUGCUAGUUGAGAGAGAAGUCAAGUUCUAGACUUGUGAGGGUGAAAAGGGAUGAAAGAAGGUUGAGUUCUAAUCUUAUACACGUGAGUGUGCUGCCAGGAGAGGGGUAUGUGGCCAUACACCCAUGUGUGCGGCCGUACACUCCUAAUGUUGUAGUGUAAGGCUCAUUUUUGGUAUGGAGCUUUGAACCUUUGAACAGAUUCUAAGAAAAGGCUAAAUAAUAGUAGAAAUGAGUCUGACACUCAGUUAUGUUGACUGGCUUGGCUUUACAAGGCAAAAAAAAUUCGGGUUGUCACAUCAUCCCCCCGUUAGAUGGAAUUUCGUCCUGAAAUUAGCUUUCUUAAAAGUACUACUGGGGUUGCGCUCCUCUGAUUUGCAGAAUACCCACUCGUAGACCUGGAAACUUUGCCCUAGUGUUCAUGAUAGGACUCAUACUCGGUCCAUCUAUCAUUAUAUCAUGUAUAAAAGUCGCAUAUAAUUAGGAUUAGUAAGACGGUCGGAAGUGUGACUCCGCCCCAGGUCCACAACCAAACAAGGAAUAGCAGAUAGGGCGGAAGCAAACACACUAAACCUGUGAAAUCAUAAUCAUAUACCACCCUUGCGUAUACACUGAAUAGUAAUAGUUGGGUGGUAUUCGUCCUUAGCCUUUGUGCUCGAACUUGGUCUGUUGGACGAGUGGUAAUUCAUGACGAUCUGUGGAAUAUACAGCGGCAAGGCUUUGGAGGGCAAAGUACCCUUUGCACGAGUACUUCAGGGUUUAGAAUACAAAAGACAAAACUGAGGUUUAGGUCGGACUGUCGAUACGAAUGACGAAGGUUUCGCAAACUUAACGGUUAAGGCGAUAGAAACAUAUGAACUUAGUAUGGUGAGGACCACGCCAACUCAUGACGAAUGAUAGAAACUGACUCUUUACUGAACAAAUUUUUGGCCAAUUUGAAAGAAACUUCUGUUAUAUGAUGAUGUACCUCUAAUGUGUUCGACAAUGUACUCUUUGUAAAUGUUCUAGUGAUUUCUGUUUUUCUCCUUGAUGUUAACACUUCUACGUAUCGUACCGCGAUGAGCGAGUACAUACAAUGAAGGUGUUUUGAUAACUAGUGUUGAUACUUUAUACUACGAUCCUCCUUGGUACCACUAUGAUCACCUACGAUAUACAAGUUAUAAAUAAUCAAGAUGAAUAAGACGGUCGACUGAGUAACUCUGCCUCAAAUCCACAACCAAACAAGGAACAAGAAUUAAGGCUGAAUCACUCACUCUAAGUCUGCAACAUCUUAGUUAUGCACAACCCUGAUGUACAUACUAAGCCAUCAUAGCUUCUCUGAAUGGAUCUUUUGGUUCUCUCUGAUACUGUGACUUGUUUCAAUACGUGAGUUAUUAAAAUUACUUUUAAAUGUUUUCCCCAUGUUUUAAUCUUAUAUAAAUAUAAGUUAAUUUUUAAAGUAAUUACUAUUUCGAAAACAUACCGCUGCUCGUUGACGAAUCUGGGGUUGAUUCUGCUGUGGUGAUCAUCAGAAUUCGUCUGUUCGCUCCUGAAUUCUUUUGUUAUCGGGCAGUCGCUUUGGUAGUGUCCAGUCUCACGAUAGCCAUAGCAAGUUUGGUUUUCUUCGACACUAGGGACUUGGGAGAUCGGUUGAGCCGGUGCCCUACAGAAACGGACUGUGUGUCCCUUUCUGUGGCAGUUUAGACACUGCAUUACCCGACAUACUCUGGUGUGGUGAUAGUUGCACCUUCCACACUACGGAGUGUUCCAGCAUACCUACCGGUAGGUGUUCGAGAAGCAGGCAUUGUAGCGGCGUACGUAGUACUCGUUUGUUUCUUUUGCGGGGGUUCCUGUAUCGUUCGCUACUUCUUCCUCCUAUUGCCUGACUUCUGUUUAUAGUCCUCUCCCUUUGAUGGCUCGGGAACUGGGACUUCUAUGCCAUGACAAACUCCAUGGUCGAUGAGUCCCUGUGCCAGGCGUUUGGCGCUAUCAAAUGUGGCUAGGUUAGAAGACAAUACAUCUCCGUGGGUCGGGGCAGUUAGACCCCAGAUUUAUCUUUCUAUCUUCCUGCUCUCCAGGUUAACCAUCUCGGGGCAUAGUGAUUCCAGGUCACUAAACCUGUCAGUGAAGGACACUAUGUCUGAGCCGACCAUCUUGAGCUCCCAUAGUUCUUGUUCCAGUUUUUGUACUUCGCCCCUUGGGCAGUACUCUCCCAUCAUCAUUUCCUUCAAGUUUUCCCAACCCAUAGAGUUAGCCACUGAUAGUGUUAGUGACUUAACAUGACCAUUCCACCAUGUUAGGGCUCUGUUGGAGAAGGUGCAGGCAGCAAACAUGACUUUGCUCCCUUCUGGGCAUGAACAGAUUUCGAAGACCGAAUCUGUUUUCUCGAACCAUUGCAUCAGAGCAAUGACUCCUCCAUCUCCAUUGAAGGAUUUGGGUUUGCAGUUCAUGAAGUCCUUGUACGAACAUUCCCUUGGGUGUUCAUGGGUAUCUUCGUGGUUGGUUAGGUGAGCACCGCGGUUUCGUGGGAUAGGGUUUAGGACUUGGAGACUGGAAAUGAGGCCAGCAAGUGGGGAUUAAGAUGCUUAAAUAGGGUGCAAAACCCCGAAAUUAGGGUUUCAUCUUGGCAACCCUACUCAUCGAGUCGAGGCUCUCAACUCAUCGAGUAGGUGACUUAAAAUCUCGCAGCCAAUCUCGUUUCUACUCGAUGAUUCUGGGUUCCCAACUCGUAGACUAGCUCUACAAAAGUGAAUGAAUUUUAAUUAGAUGCAUUCCAAGAACCAGACGUUACAUGAGGUAUUCAAAACCUAUGGUUGACUGGACCCGACAUGUUUAAUUAUAUAUGUUAUCAAUUUGUGUGGUGGUUUUCAAGGGAAACUCACUAAGCUUUAUGCAUAUCAAGUUGUUUAUUGUUUCAGGAAUCAUCGGUGUCUAUGGGAACGUGAAGGCUGGACUGGUACAUACUCAGUAGCUACUUUGAGGAUCACCGAUAGGCGCUUGGGGAAGGUGGAGCCCCCAAGGGCUCGGGCUAUUGCUUGCGAAAUCAUUGUCGAGGGGGCUAGAGCAGCUCCAGAUGUUGUCACUAGUAUGUUUCUAUUAAUUUUUCUCUUGGUUAUGUUUUAUGUAAUGCUUAUGUUUAUACUUAUGUAGGUAUGUUCUUAGUAAACUCUUUGCAUGCCCUUGUAUUAUUUGACUCGGGCGCAAGUUAGUCCUUUGUAUCUCGAUCAUUCGGCAGGGAGUUUGAUAUGCGUAUUGGGGAGUUAGAGUGUCUGUUGUGAUUUUUUAUCUUCAACGAACACGGGGCUUAUGCAUAUGUAGUAUGUCAGGGUUGUGAGUUAGAGAUGUUCAGGUUCCCUAUCCGACUGAUCUGAUCCUUAUUCCCAUGGACUGGCCAAGUAAGCUUGGCGCCAUGAUCAAUUGUGAGGACCAGUGAAUGGUAGUUCGAACCCUAAGUGGGGAAUCAAUGGUUAUCUAUGGGGAGGGCACCAUAUUGGUCCAGGGUUUUGUUUGGCAUAUAGGGCUCAACAGUAUAUUCAACACGGGUGUGUCAGUUAUCUGGAUUCUAUGGUUGAUACUAGGGUUGGGGAGUAGACUUCAGUUUCAAAGGUCCUAGUUGUCAGGGAUUUCUAAGAACAAAAACUAAAUACGUAAGGAAAAGGCUUGAAAACUCAAACCUUUGAUUUAAUCUUGAGGAUCAACGUCUUAUCUUAAUGAAGGUUCCAAUCGAAUAUGGUAAUAUCAGUUUGGAUUUAAGGAAGAUAUUCAACAAAGUAUUCAAGAUAAUGAAUGAAGAAAACUUUAAGUAUAAUCAACGCAAAGUUAUUUAAGGAACAAUAAGAAUGUUGUGAAAGAGCUUUGCCUUGAAGGGAAAGUGAAAGUGACCUAAAGAGAAUAUUUGCUAUUCUUAGUGUAAAACUUGAAAUGUUCACAUCUACAUUAAUGGUGAAAAUUUUCACUCCUUAAAUAGUGAAGUACGAACAUAGUACAAACCAUGAAACAUUACUAGGACUAGACGAAACUCAGUGUUUGACAAACUAAUAUCCAAAAGAUACAUAAUAAGAUGCCCUAUGAACUGUUACAUCAUUAAUAAGAAAAAAUUCAUUAAAUUCUACUAUGCUAGAAUAGAUAUCUAAUGUAAAAAUCGUCCAUCAUCUUGGAAUGAUCUUAAUCUUGGAACAUAUAUUCAUCUCCGACUUAUCUUUGAAUGUGUUGUCUUUGGAACUUGAGUGAUUGUUGGAGGUUCACUUUUCAUGAUUCAAAAAUCUUCCCCUAAGUAAAUUUAGCAAUCUUGCCAGCUUAAUUGGCUACUUCAUUGAUAAACACAUAAGCUCUAUAUAGCCAGUUCCGGAUAUCCAGAUACCAUUGGAGUUGAUUGAUGAAUUUUCCUUUCACGUGCUCCGGAGCAUCUGAUUUGGUUGCAUUUGCGAUGAACUUUUGAAGAAUCCUUGUGGGGACUAGAUGCUUUUCUAGGACUCAGAAGAAAUCCUUCAUGUUGUUCUUCUUUUGCAUGUAGCCGUAUCCAAGCACCGGUUCAUCAGUUAGCCCUUCUGCCAGACUCUCUUCUAUAGACAGUUUGUAAUCAAUCUUGGCCAAGAAAUUUUUUAGUUCCGAAUAGAUGUGCAAACUCAAAGUCACAUCAACAAAAGUCAACAACAUAGUCUUUUAGAUAGCUCAUCACAACACUAUAGGUAGCAAUGCUCAUCUGACUAUCUUGGCGAAUUCGGAAAUGAGCAACAAUAGUCAAGAUGUCGUUUUGGAUUUAAGGAGGGGAAGUAUUCGUUUGUGAUGGUGACUUGCUUCGAUUUGUUAUGAAUGAUGUAAUACCAGUGCAGUAAGUAUUCCAAGUCGACUUUUCUGUUGAACCCAGAGAUCUUUGUAAUUCACUUCCAAGAGCACACUUCAUUUUGAGGGAAUGCGUUUAUUGAGUAGAAUGUCUUCAAUCUUUAUCUUUCAAUUAUGACAAUCAUCCGAGGAUCAUCAUUUGGGUGGAGAGGAGCGAACUUGAUGUAAUAUCUUCCAUAUGGAUAAAUUAGAAGAUUGAGUUGGUCUGUAUCUUGCAUCGGUAGAUCGUAAUACAUGAAUGCCACAAUAUCCAGACCAUGAAUUAUCCAUUCAUGACAAAGAGUGGAUAAGCCCAACAAUGGAUUAGGAUUGUCUUUAAGGGAUUAAAUAUGAAUGCUCUCUUCUAGGGCUUGAUCAAUUUGCGCUUGUGACCAUACUUCGGACUUCUUGUAUGUUCGUUCUGGGUUCUUUGGUUUUGAGACAAGAUUUUUGCUUCUGUCUUGUUGAUUGUUCAUGUCAUCAAUGACUUGUUGAAUGUUCUCAGUGAUUGUCAACUCAGGACCUCGAGGAAUCAGAGGCUCUUCUGGGAUGUUGUCAGGCUUCCAAAGUGGAGAGCCUUUAUCGAUAGGAACUAUUCUAGAAGAGGGGAUGAGAGGCAGCAUGGAUUAGGUAGCUCGGAAUGAAUCUAUUGUGAGCUUGUCUUUACCCUAGCCAAUUCACGACUUCGUCUGAGAACCGCUAUCCUGGAUGAUGGCCAUGUGACAGCGGACCAUAUCCUUCUUUCUUUUUCUGAAAGAACUUUUGUCGGAAGCUUUCUUGGAGCUUGAAUUCCAAUCACAACAUUUAUGAUAUAAUCAACUUCUUCAUUAACAUCAUCAUCAGAAGGAAUACCUGUAGACAUAAUUUGAAGUUCACCAUCAUCUGAUUCAUCUCAGAGAUUGAACUCUGAUGCAUGCUUCCAAGGAAUGGUAUGUUCUCUUCUUCCUUCCCCACACUUGCAUCGAAUGGCCCUGCUUCUGAGGCAAGUCUAUCGGAUUCUAUGGCUUCCGAGAGCCAUUCAAAAACUUUUUGGAAGCUCAUGUUGUUUUGUCUUCAAAAAGGCAUCAUAGGCUUCAGCGGUGGGUGUCUAAACUUUCAAGUGAUCGAAUAGGAUGGCAAGGAUGGACAUCAUCUCAUUGAACUUAUUUUUCGGAACGUCAACGAUGAUCCAAUAGGCUCGGAGGAGUUUGCGGAGAACUUGUUGCAUAAUGAGAUUCAUCUUGUACUUCUUUUUAAUUCCCUCUCCAACCUAUGAAUCUUCUUCUCUUGCCUAACAUGGGUUUUUUGAUCAGUUUGUUUGUGGCACUGAUCAUGUCUUCAUGAAUUUUUAGGAUGGUGGAGGUGAUGUCAAUGUGGUGAUCAAGGCUGGAUUUAUACCUUUGUUCCACCUCUUCCAUGGUAUGCUUGAAUGUUAAAGAAAUAAGUUGGUCGAGUUGCUCUGCCCUUUCAGUGUCCGAGGGCCCAACUUUCUUUACUUCAGACAAGGAGUGGAGGAUGGUAUCAAGCUUGGUGUCGAGGAUGGAGACUUUUGCAUCACUUUUGGAAUCAAGCUUUUCACCAGCCUUGUCUAGGGACUCUACCUUUGCAUCACUUUUGGAUCAUCAUAGUUUUCAGCUGAAGAUCCAGUGUUCAAGGUGGAACUCUAUGGCUUAGCUUUAUCACCUUCUUGUUUGACUAGAGGUUCUGAAGGAGUAGGAUGAUUUUUUGUUGUUUUCAUUGGAGGGUUUGAUUUUGUUUCAUCUACCAAUAUGUUCUGGACUUGAUCAUCAAUGUGGAUUUCUUCAUCAACCAGAUUCAAAGAGGAUGACGAAAGUCUGAACUCAUAGAUCGGUCUUGAUGAUGAUGGCUUUUCUAGAGAGUGAAAUGAAGAGAAAAUUAGAGGAGUAGCGACUGGUGCACUAAUGUCGUUGAACAUAAAAUCGGAUGAAUAUUCUUCAUCAGUAUCUGAAUGGAGGGCAUCAUGGUGAGGAGACUUCAGACGAUCGUCCGAGAUGAUGGUGUUAUGGUGAGUCUCUCCUGGUGUGAACUCCUUAUCUACGACUUCAUCUGAGGGAGCAACAAAGGGAAUAUUGCUCUAAAUAGCUCGAUUCCUCAUAGAGACGAGAGUAGAUUCUACUUGGGAGUGAGUAAGCUCUGGAUGACUUGAGUGAGUCUUAUUGAAAAAAUCUAACCAAUCUGGAUCAACAGUACAUGGUCGUCCUUUACCCGAGCCAAGUAUCAGACUAAUUAUGGCUUUAGAAGUUGAAGGGACAACCCCAGCUUCCAAAAGCUUGGGAUCCGAGACAGGAAUCUCGGAUCGCGUAUGUGUAGAAAGAGAAGGGAUAUCCAACAUGACUCAUCAGCGCGUUCCUGUGGGUGCAAGGAACAAUUGUCAACAUCGACACUACCUCGUUGACAAGGUGAGGGUGGAUUAUGAGGAGACUCCCCGUGUGAGCGCGAAUGUGCUAUUGAAGCUACGAAGUGUACUUCGGAAAAGUGGCAUGGGGGUGAGCGGAUGACCAGAGUCAUGUGGAAUGUCCUUGAUAGAUUCCUUUUGAGAGCAAAUAUUGACUUUAGAUCUCUUUUUGGUUUUUAGCUUAAUGGCAGAAAACUAUUAAAUUUGGUUUCGUCUAAUAAUUUAGUAAAGACAUUAGCAAUUUCAUUGUCAGAUGGAACAAAAAUAAGUUCAAUGCUUCCUUUAAAAUGUGAUUUAUAAUGAAAUGGUACUGAAUAUAAAUGUGCUUACUCAUGGAGUGUUGGAUUGAUUGUGAGAGAUUGUAAUGGCACUUUCAGAGUCACAAUUGAUUUGAAUCUGUUGAAAUCGAUAACCAUAGUCCAGAAGCGGUGAUUUCAUCAAAAGAACUUGAGAAAUGCAAAUAGCAGCAACAAUGUAUUCCGCUUCGACUAUUCAAAGAGCAAUUCAGUUAUGUUUCUUAGAUAACCAGCUAACCAAUCUUCAACCCAAAAACUGACAGCCACCAAAGGUGUUGUUUCUCUCCAAUUGAAGUCUGCCAUAGUUUGAAUAGGAGUAAGCUUGUAAGAGGAAACUCUCGUUUUCUGGAUACCAGAUUUCGAGACUCUUUGUACCUUUGAGGUAUCAGAAUAUUUUCUUAACUUCCAAAAGAUGAGACAUCUUUGGAUUUACCUGAAAUCUAACAAACAAACAUGUACAGAACAUGAUGCCUAGACGACUUGUUGUUAGGUAGAGUACCGAUCCAAUCAUUCCUCUAUACUUCUUUCAAUCAACAGCAACACCUGAUAGGUCCGAGAAGAUCUUGUGUCUAAAACCCAUAGGAACCUUUGCAAAUGCACAGGUGUCCAUGAAAUAUUUUUGAGAUGAUCAAAAAUGUAUGUUUCUUGGUGAAUAAAGAUUUCUCUAUUGGUUUGCUGUACUUGGAGACCAAGGAAUAAAAUUAAUUCACGAUUCAUGCUGAUUUGGAAUCGACUAACCAUUAAGUUGGCAAAGUCAGCAACCAUUGUUGAAUCUGUAGAUCCAAAAAAUGAUAUCGUGAAUGUAGAUUUGGACUAGAAUGAUAUGUUUUCCAUUUGAUCUUCGGAAAAGGGUAGGAUCGAGUAUUCCUCUUGGAAAACCGGAACACUUGAUAAAGUUGGCGAGAAGCUUGUUUGAGGCCAUAAAUAGCUUUUCGGAUUUUGUAGCAAUAGUUUGGAAAAGAAGGAUUUAGAAAACCGGGAGGCUAUUCAAGAUACACUUCAGUAUCCAGUUCACUGUUAAGAAAAGAACUUUUAACGUCCAUUUGGUAAACUUUGAAGCCUUUAUGAGCUGGAUAAGCAAGAAAGAUUCUGAUGGCUUCAAGAUGGGCAAUAGGGGCAAAGAUCCUGUCGUAAUCAAGCCCUUCAAUCUGAGUAAAUCCUUUGGUCACCAAUCUUGAUUUGUUUCGAAUAAUUAAACCAGCGUCGUCUAGCUAGUUUCGUAAAACCCAUCUUGUACCAACAAUAGGGUGAUCCUGAGGUGGAGAGAUGAGAGUCCUAACUUCAUUUCUAUCAAAUUCUGCUAACUCUUCUAGCAUGGCUGUAAUCCAGUCAACAUGUUCUAAUGCUUCCUUGAUGUCGAGAAAUGAAAUUCAUUUUGAAUGUUAGUAGCAGAGCGAGUUUAUACACCAACGUUAAGAUUUCUAUAACUUGGUUGGGAGGAUGAUCCUUUGUCCAUAUGAUGAGAAUUAAAACCUUUUAAUUUAUGAAGAUCGAUUAGAUCUUGAACAAGUGUAUGAAUAUAAAAACAGUAAGAACGCAAUAAAAAGAACAAAACAAGAUUGAAUCAAACGAGUCGAAUGAUUAAAACAUAAUCCUCAGAAGAGCUCGAUUAAGAACAUCAACUGUAGAGGAUUGAUAGGUUACAAUACGAUUAAGAAACCUGUUGUACUCUAGAUGAAUCGCUAUUCGUAAAAAUCUCUAUAAUCGUAAACCUCUAUCUCGUUGUUAACCUAAUAUGCAUGCAAGCAUUAACUUAUAUACAAUACAUAAAAGGCUCUCAGUUGGACAGGCCCAAACCGGAGUGUACAAGGCUAAACUAUCGAGCCCAAAAGACGCAACAACAAAACAAUCUUCAGCGCAACAAUCUCCCCCUUUGCGUCAAUUUGGAGCGAGACCUUCACUUUUUACUUGGGCCGCAGCUGAAGCUGGUACCUUCUUCUUCACGGUGUUAAAUAGACACUUGGUUAUGGAGAGGAUGGUCUGUCUAAACCGGACGUACCAAUUGAUCAUAUCAUUGAAGUACUUGAUGUCAUCAGCCGAAUUUUCUUUACACCGCUUGAUAAUUGAUAAGACGUGCUCCAAGCAAGCUGUGGUGUAAAGGUGUUUGUCAGCUAAAGCGAAGAGACAUUUCUGUCCUUCGGCUCUGGUGAACAUUACUGAGUUACGCCUCGGAUCAAUCUUGCCCAUUUGCAUUUGAUUUAGAUCACUGGCCGAUCCCACAGGUGCUAUCUUCGGUUUCUUCUUAAACACUGUGGCAACCUCCUGAUCCAUUAGGGCAACCUCCAUGAUAUAGCAGGCCAACAUCCUUUUGACAUGGUCUAUGAUGGGACCAUAUUCGGCUUCAUUUGUCAGAAGGAUAUUGUAUAAGACAAUCCAAUCAUGAGGAUUCAGAUUUGGCAGAUCCGCCAGGGAGAUAAUAUGAGCAGUUCUUGCUGAUCCACGAAUGAGCUUGAACUUAACGUUUGUGAAUCUCCCCACGGCAUAAGGCUUCAGCACCCGAACGUUUACAAUCUUCUGGGCGCUCCAGGUAAGAUAUUGAGGGCGAGCAGCCUCCAGGUAGAAGUCAAUGAGCUCCCUGUCAAGCUCAUCGUUCGGAUGCGGGACUUCAAAAAUGUUAGAGAAGGCGUGGAAGAUGAACGCCUUUCGAGUCAGCGGCAUAUCAAACUGCGAAUCGACAGUGUUGUUGCAGUCGAAUGAUAUAACCGGCUCGAGCCAUAAUAUGCUUGGAGUUUCUAUGGCCUCUUUUAUCAUACGAUCCCUGGUCCAGGCAGGGAAGAGCAACUUUCGGCUCUCAAGGAGAUCGUGGGCUUCUUUUUGCUUUCGUUCGGCUUCUUCAGCCUCACGCGCCACACGACUGGCAUCGUCUUCAGCAUUGCGACUGUUCUUUCUUUUUAACAUGUCAGCAAUGGUCUCCUUGUCUUCAUCUUCAUCUUCAUCUUCAUCUCCUCCCUCAGCUAUGUUUUUGCCCUUGUUCUUCACACCCGAACCCGAGGCAUGACCAGUUGGGGGUGGUUCGGUUGUGUGAGUAGCUUUGGAGGAAGGAGGUGGUUUCGAUCCUUUCUUCUCAUCUCCCCCUUGUUUCGGAAUGGACACGAAACUCGGUAGGCCUUCAAUCUUGCUUAAAAGGUCCAUGGCUGGAGAGAGUUUUUCUGCGAGGGUACGCCUCACCGAAUGGUUUAGGAUGGGGUCGUGUGCUUCCAGGAUGUUUGAUAACGCUGCGUGGACAUCCGAAACACAUGUCUUUAUGACCUCCCUUUCGAAUCGAAGAGCUUCCAAUUGUUCUUCGGAGUUGGAGAGUUGCGUGCUCUUGACCUUAAAGGCGGUUGUCUUACUCGCCAAGACGUCCAUCAGAGAAUUUUCAGCUGCAAGAUCCUCUUGUAGCUUUGCCAGGCGGGCAUCGAUGGAGGCACGAAGUGCCGAGUUGUCGUCGCUGAGAUGUUGUCUGAGUGUAGCGAACGAAGACAGNGACGAACUUGCCAAUUGUUGAACAAUCGGUUCCAGAGUUGUCUUAGUGGCGUCGGCGCUCUCCUGCAAGGACUUCAGCAAGACGGAAGCGUCGGUGAAUAGUUUAUCAACUUUUUCGGUCGCAGCCUCACAGGCUCGGGUGGAGGCAUAGAUUGCAGCAGUUGCUGAGGCCAGUGAAUCAUGUUGAGCCCUAGAGAAGGCGUCAACAAUCUUCUGAAGGGCAGCUUCAGAAAGAGAUGACUGCUGGUUGGUGGAGGAGGCGAGAAGUUGAUCAACCUUCUCGUUAAGCUCUCGGAGAUGCUUCUUUGUCACUGGAGCAUCAUCCUCCUCGUCACUCUGAACUUGAAACGGACUAUAGUAGACCGAAUCGAAGUUCAUGUGAUCACCACCAAGGUAUUGAUCACCGCCAUCGGAGGCGUCUUCUGGAGAUUGAGGUGGUGGUGAAGCUGGGGGUGUUAUGGGUUUGGUUGGUUCAGGUUGAGUGGGUGGGGGGUUAGUUUCGGGUGGUGGUUGUGUAUGGGUAGGAUCGGUUGUAUGUGUUUGAGUUUGUGGUGGUUCGGUUACAGGAGGGGUUUCGGUAACUGGUGGUGUUUCGGUUGAUGUGGUGAAUAUGGGUGGAGGUAUAGGGAAUGAGGUUGGGGGAAUAGUGGGGUUUAUGGUGGGAAUGGAAAUAGGAAUAGUUGGUGGAGGUGAAGGAACAGGAGAUUGAUGAAGUUCCAUCUCUGGGGUUGGGGACCGAGGUGGUGUGUUGCCUCGUUGAGGAGAUUUGUCACCUUGAGAUCCUUCAGAGUCCGAACUCGCACCCUCAGAUUCGCUUGAAGAUGAGGGAAUAACUAGCUUUCGCUUCUGUUGGGUCUUCCUUCUCUUCGGCUGGGGGGAUGAAGCAGCUUUCGGUUGUUUCCUCUUUUUGGGAGAAGGUCCCUUUGGAGCUUUGGACACUUGCUUCCCUUUGUCACCCUUUUUGCCCCUGGCCACCGGUUUGUCGGCAUCAUGAAUCGAUCUGAGCAUAUCCGGUGUCAGUUCCCUCGGACCAGUUGGCCUAAACUCCUUGAUCGUCCUGAUCAGUCUGCUAUCGGNGGCAUACAUCACUCCGGGAUGGAGCCAAUGAAGGAAAAUUUUGAUGCAUCUGAGACAAUUAUCUUCUUGGUAUGGAACGUACCAACAGAAGACAUCGAUGCACCAUCAGCAGUAGGAAUGGUAAACUUGUCCAUGGCCCAUCUUGUAAUCAAGAUCCAGAACCGGGCCAACGACACCUCAGAGUGUCGGGAUGAGGAAGAGAGGCUCUGAAUCAGCUGUUACCAUAGGACAAACCCAUAGUCCAGGUUUAUCCCGUUGUACACCCCAUACAUUAUCGAAAGGAAAAGACGACUUGCACCGUCAGAUCCUGAGCUCCUCUCUGACAGUCCCUUGAAAAGAACUGUAAAUAACCCAUUCCACUGGGGCGGUAGGCAGGACUUCUUAAACUUGGCGACGGAGGUGAGAACCUCUGUGUAGCCCAUGUUGUAAAACAUGUUGUACAACAUCCCAACCGGAAUCGUCUCCGGGUGAACUCGCGAUGGGUCAGCAGCAAACCCUAACAUAGUGCAGAAACGGGGGCGAGAAAUCGAAGUCUUGUGUUCUGCCACUUCAAAGAAUACCCGGUCGACGGCCUUGUCGUAGUAAGCCGUCGCAUAGACCUGAGAUAAGGCCACCAUUGGCACCGUUUCAAUUCUUGACAAUGCAGGAGCAAGCUGGGAGUACUUGAGGCAUUCUAUGACCGGCGACAUGUAGGAAUCAUACGCCAGUGGGUUCAGAUCAAUGACUAGGCAUUGUUGGGGUCGGAUGGGAAGAAUCUGAGAAGUUGCAUGAACAGAAGAAGAGUCAGCCAUUGUUGCAGGUUGGAGAAGAGGAUGAACAGUAGUUGGUUUAUGGGUUUUUGCUCUUGAGAAAUUUCGGAGGCAGUAAAGAGGUAAAAGGUUUUGUGGACUGCCUUUUAUAGUGAGGGAUAGGAGAGAGAAAGAUCGUUUCAUAUCUUCUAUACGAUGAUCACGUAGGAGAGAGAAUGUCAGAAUCCUAGGAUCACGCUACCCAACAAGCGCCGUUUCAGAAGAAAAUCGCUUCAAAUCCGCACGCGCCAUUAAUUGCCAGAGAUGUGACGCUUCAAUAUCGCACACGCGUCCUUAAGUGUCAGUAAAAGCGCGGCCGUUUCAAAUUCCCACGCGCCUUCCUUUUUACCGUCGUUUGAAUUUUUAUCCUUUUAACUCCCGCCGAGUCAGCAACCUUUCGUCUUAUCCCUUUUAAACGGCAUCUUUUUGAAUUAAACGCCCACGUGGAUUAUUUCUGACCACAGCACCAUAAUUACAGCCUGUAAAUAAUUAGUAANGAUCCAUCCUGUAAAAUAAUUAGUAACGGAAUUUUGGAAAAUCUAGGAUUUUCGUGCAAAGAGUGUAAAAGAAAAAGAAAUAAAGCAACUCUUUUUAGGAUAUUCUGUGAUGUCAAUAAUGACACGAAACUGAUGAUCCCGGGCACGAAUCUCUUCCUUCAAGGUCAAGAGAGACCUCAAAGUGUUAGUGUGGAAUCCCGUUGAAUUACGAUCAAACAUUUAUUAAUAAAUGUUGAAAGGCUUCUUUUAAUUAGGCUAAUUAAGGGUGGUUUCGCUUUGAUUCAUCAAUUUUGUUCUUGAUAUAAGAAAGUGAACAAAGUACUUGUGAGACCGGUGUAGUCUGUUGAACAAGUAGGUAGGAGUUGAUUUUGUAUUGGCUUGGAUUAAUAUGAAAUCUCAGAUAAAAAUUUAAAACUGGAUCCCUUGGGAAGAAAUGUUAUGGUGUGUAACAAUUUCAUGGGAAUCACGCAAAAGAAAAUUUGAGAUUUCAUGAAGGUAUAUUCGUCAAUUCAUUGGUGAAAAGUUGAUCAAAAUAAUUGGUCACCGGCAAUUCGUUGGUGUUGAAUUUUGGGUUUCACUCAGCUCGUAGUGGCACGAAACUAAGAUCAUAAACACAGGUGUUGUGUAACCAUAAACCUCAGUGGUAGUUUCUGAGAGUCUCAAGGGUUACGUUGAUGAAACGAAUGUAAUGGAGAAGUGUAAUGGGGAUGGUGUAAGAAAACAUAGUACCUCUGCUGCGAAAAUAAGGACCAAGCAGGAAACUCUUAACUCAUGUGAGAAGAGAGUGAGGUAGCUCACGAUUAGAAUAAAUGUGUUAGCCUUAUUGGGAAGACAAGGUUUGUGUAUACCAGGUCAUGAAGGCUAUUAUUCAAAAUCUUAUGAGGCUUGGGACACAUACAACAGCAUGCUUCUAGGGACAUUUAAGUAAGUCAUCAAAUAUAUCCCCAUAAACGAAUGAGCACACACAAAAAAAUAAAAUAUUUUUGGAGUUUUUGAAAUUUUAAAAUAAAAAUAAAUAAUAAAAAUAAAUAAUAAAAAAGUUAGAGAAAAAAAUACGACAUUUAAAAAAAAAACUUUGGAAAAUAAAUUGAAAAACUGAACCCGAACGUUCGGUUGGCUUCGGUUGGGAAAAAGUUGAAAAACCGAACCCGAGCGUUCGGUUGGUUUCGGUUCAUGAAAAUUUUGAAAAACCGAACCCGAACCUUCGGUUGGUUUCGGUUUUGGAAAAUUCUAAGAAACCAAGGAGUUUAGACAUGCAAUGUGGAAAAACUUUUUAUACAAAGAAAAACAAAUUUUGUACAAAAAUUAUACAACAUAGAAAAUCUACCUUUGAAGUAAUGAGCGAGUCAGAUGAUUGAACCGAACCCGAACGUUCGGUUGGUUUCGCUUCUUACGUUUGAGGUGGAGAGGUAGUGUGAGGUACUGACUCUGAUUCCAUCAUACCUAGCCCAUGCAGUAUUUUAUUGAAUGAUGCUUCAGGAAGAGCUUUGGUAAAGACGUCAGCCAGUUGAUCAGUGGUUCUUACGAAGUGAACUUCGACAUUUCCAUCUUCCACAUGAUCUUUGAUGAAGUGAUACCUCAGUGCUAUGUGUUUGGUUUUAGAGUGUUGCACUGGGUUAUGACAGAUCCUAAUUGCACUUUCAGAGUCACAAUAUAGUGGGAUCUUCUUCAUAUUGAGUCCAUAGUCUCGAAGUUGACUCUGGAUCCAAAUCACUUGUGAUGUGCAGGAUGCAGCGGCAAUGUAUUCCGCUUCGGCAGUAGACAGCGACACACACGUUUGUUUCUUGGAUUGCCAGCUGACCAACUUCCCAUCAAGAAAUUGACAGCCACCAGUUGUGCUUUUGCGGUCGAGUCCACAUCCUCCAAGGUCAGCAUCAGAAUAGGCUUGAACGAAGAAGCCUGAGUUGGAUGGAUACCAUAGACCUAAGGAGGUGGUUCGCUUGAGAUAGCGUAGGAUGUUCUUCACUGCCAGCAUGUGAGGUUCGCGUGGGUUAGCCUGAAAUCGAGCACAAUAACACACAGAAAACAUGAUAUCAGGCCUGCUAGCAGUUAGAUACAUCAGUGAGCCUAUCAUUUGACGAUAGAGCGUGAUAUCGACAGCCGGUUUGUCUAGAGAAGGGGUAAGCUUGGUGCCGAAUGCCAUUGGGACUUUGACUUUUGAGUCUCCCAUCAUGCCAAACUUUGCUAGGAGAGUCUUCGUGUAAGCUUCCUGAUUGAUAAAGAUGCCUUCGGGUCCCUGUCUUAUAUUUAAACCAAGGAAAAAAUUAAUAGGACCCAUUGAGCUCAUUUCAAACUUAGUCUCCAUCAACUUUCUGAAUUCAGCUGUUAAGCUGGGAUUCGUAGAGCCAAAGAUGAUGUCAUCGACAUAAAUUUGAACUAUCAUAAGGUGGUUACCUUCCUUUUUGCGAAAGAAGGUUGGGUCAACCGAACCUUGUUUGAAUUUGGACAUCUUUAAAAAUUUUGUAAGCGUUUCAUACCAGGCUCUCGGAGCUUGUUUGAGGCCGUACACAGCUUUAUCCAGAAUGUAGCAAUGAUUUGGAUACUUUUCGUUCACGAACCCAGGAGGUUGCUCCACAUACACAGUUUCUUCGAGUUCUCCAUUGAGAAAUGCACACUUGACGUCCAUUUGGAAAACCUCAAAGUUUUUGUGAGCAGCAUAGGCCAGAAAUAUUCUAACAGAUUCUAGCCUAGCUACUGGAGCGAACGUCUCUUCGUAAUCUAUCCCUUCCUCCUGACAGUAUCCCUUGACAACCAGACGAGCCUUGUUCCUUAUGACAUUACCUUCCUUGUCCAUUUUGUUUCUAAAAACCCAUUUAAGACCAACAACUGAAGCAUCCGGAGGAGUUGGAAUGAGGCGCCAGACUUUGUUCCUUUCAAACUCGUUUAGUUCGUCUUGCAUUGCUUGAACCCAAUCAGAGUGAUCGAGGGCAGUGUUCACUGUCUUCGGUUCAACUUUUGAUACAAAUGAGUUAAACAUACAAAACUCAACCUUUGAGAAUAAGGAUGUCUGUUUUGCCUUCAGUUGAGAUCGGGUCAGAACCUUUUCAGAUACAUCACCAACUACUUGAGAGAUAGGAUGAUCUCUGGUCCAUUUUGUAAGAGGAGGGUAAUUCGGAUCGAAGGUUGGAUCUAGUUCAGCGUUGAUCAUCUCUUCAGGCUCAGAUUGGCUAUCGAAAUCAAGCGUCAUAUCAUCAUGCUCCCCCUCAAUUGAUGAGUCUUGAGAAACAUGAGGUUCAGGGGUUUCUUGUGGUGCUGGAUUUUCAGGCAUUGAAGCACCUUCGUUUGGAGGGGCACCUUCGGUUGGAGAGUUACCUUCGGUUGAUGAAGGACCUUCGGUUGAAGUAGUAGAGCUUGGCUCCCCCUGGACAUGUGAGCUAGGCUCCCCCUCGACAUGAGAACUUGGCUCCCCCUCGACUGAAGCAUUGUUGGUUGGAGAUUCAUUAGUAGGCGAUUCUUCUUCAUGCAUUCUUCUUGCAGCAUCUUCGACAAUCUGCUUCAUAUGAUCUAUUUUGUUGUCGGCUGCACCUGCUUCUGAGAGAGAAGCUUUUUCCGGUUCGUCAAAGAGAUCCAGAAAAUUCUCGUACAUAUUGGCGAUUGAGACUGUGACUUGACCAGUUUGAGGAAAGAUUUCCCUGGCAGUGUCAUCUAUGGCCUGUAGCUUCUUGACAUAGCUAUCGUCGAAGGUCACAUAGUAUGUCUCUUCAAUCCUUCUUGAUCGUUUGUUUAGGACCCUGUACGCCUUUGAAGUGAGUGAGUAACCCAGAAAGAUUCCCUCGUCAGCUUUGACAUCAAACUUGUUGCGGUGUUCUUUAGAGUUAAAGAUGAAACACCUUGAGCCAAAAACGUGGAAAAAUUUCACAUUGGGCUUCCUGUUGUUUAAUAUCUCAUAUGGUGUGAGCGUGAAUCGCUUGUUGAGAUAGGACCUGUUUUGUGUAUAACAAGCAGCAGAAAUAGCGUCAGCCCAAAAAUAAAGAGGUAAGGAAGCGAAACUUAACAUAGUUCGGGCAGCUUCACACAGAGAUCGGUUUCGUCUUUCGACUAUUCCGUUCUGCUGUGGUGUGUAGGGAGCUGAGAAAUUAUGGCUAAUUCCCUUUUCUGCAAGAAACUCUUCAAACUCCCUGUUCUUGAAUUCGAGACCAUUGUCGCUCCUGAUGUUGCGAACGACCUUCUUGAGCUGGACUUCAAUUUGCUUGAUAAACACUUUCAGCUUUUGAGUCGCUUCAGAUUUGAGCUUUAGAAAGAACACCCAUGUAAAUCUAGAGAAGUCAUCAACGACAACAAGAAUGUACUUGCUACCACCGAUGCUUUCAAUAGAUGAAGGACCACAUAAAUCGAUAUGAAGCAAUUCGAGUGGUUCAACAACUUUUGUGUUAAUUAUGGAUGGGUGACUUUGACGACUCUGCUUUCCCAUUUCACAUGCAGCACAUAAAUGCUCUCUGUCAAACUUGAGCAAUGGAAGACCCCUAACAUGACCUCCAGUGACAAGUCGGUUGAUAUCUUUGAAAUUGAGAUGAGAGAGUCUUCUGUGCCACAACCAGCUUUCGUCGGAUUGAGCUUUUGAUAGCAGACAUAUUGCUGGGUUUCCUUUGAUGGGUUUCAUGUUCAGCGGAAACAUUUCACCCUUUCGCUCUGACUUCAGAAUCACUUUCUUUGUCGUUUUCUCUAUGAUUUCAGAACCUUCAUCAUCGAAUGAAACUUUGAGACCUGUACCUCCAACAAGCUGAGAUACACUGAUGAGGUUGUGUUGAAGUCCUUCCACAUAGGCCACCUUUCUUAUGGUAAAAUCACCAUUCGUUAUCAUCCCAUAUCCCUUUAUGGUGCCGAAAGAGUUAUUUCCAAACUUAACGUUGCCACCAUUUGCAAGAGAUCUGUAUUCCCUGAGUUCCUCUUUCCUCCCUGUCAUGUGACGCGAGCAGCCACUGUCGAUGUACCAUUCUUCGUCAAACUGCUCGUCACUUAUAACCUGCAAAAAUUAAGCAGAUUUAGGAACCCAAAGUUUCUUGGGUCCAUGUGAGGUUUUCAUGGGAACAGGAAUAGUUAGAGAGAUAUCAACAAGAUAUGUUCUUUUAAUUAAAGUUGUUUCAUCUUUCUUUUUAAUGGUGAAAACUUUUAUUUUGUUAGGAUUGGAUUUGUUCGCUUUAGACUCAGGUUUGAAUUCACCGACUUUCUGCUUUUCCUUCUGUUCAGCAGAUGGACGUGGUUUUUGAGAACCCAUGGAAUUAGUGUUAGAGCAAGAUGGAGAUGAACAAGAAGAAUUAGGAAGAGAGGAUUUGGAUUUGGAUGGAGGUGUCUUCCUUGCUGAUGACUCUAGGUGACCCUUUUGCUUUUGAUCGUUGGUGGGUUUAACCUUUGAGUCUUGUUCUCUUCUGACUUCAGAACCGAACCUCUGAGUUCGGUUGGAGUUGUUCUUGGAACCGAACCUUUGGUUUCGGUUGAAAUCCUUUUCAGAACCGAACCUUUGCUUUCGGUUGGUAUUUUCUUGCGAACCGAACCUUGGCUUUCGGUUGGUAUCUUCUUGCGAACCGAACCUUGGCUUUCGGUUGGUAUCUUCUUGCGAACCGAACCUUGGCUUUCGGUUGGUAUCUUCUUGCGAACCGAACCUUGGCUUUCGGUUGUUGGAAUUAUCGUGCUUUCUUACGAGAUUAUUUUCAUACUUCAGAUUCUUGUCCUUGUGUGAAUAGUAUGCAUUCUGGGAGUGCCAGAAUUGUUUCCUUUCAGAAAGGUUUUUCCUGUAUCUUAGGUUCCUUUCUAUCUUUUUAUCCCUCAUCUGUUUAGGUUGAUGAUGAACGUUCGCUUUCGCUUUUGAUGUAACCUUUGCUGAUUCCUUUUGAACUUUAGGAGUUUUUCUUUGAAACGAGGGAGCAGAGGGAAUAUCUGAAGAAGAUUCAGUUUGCCCUGAGGAAGUGGAAGGAGUAUCUGAUGAAGUUUCACUUCGAGCUGUUGGCGUUGAAGGAAUGUCUUCUUUUACUGAAUGAUCAACCUCUUGAGGAGUGUCUUUUGUACCACUUGUGCUUGGUUCACUGAAAUUAUCAGGCUUGUUCAAGGGUUCAGGUAUGUAUCUCCCUUUCUUCAUCCAAGAGGUUCUUUCAGAUAGGCCAACGGUUUCGUUUCCAUUGUCAAUAGGAGCUUCCCAGAAGAACUCAUCACAGCCAUCAGCAUUGUCUUCGUUAACAAUAGCCGUGAGUUCAGCUGUCUGAUGUUCGGUUACUCCAGUCACUUUGUAUACCUGAUUCGGAGUGGUUCUGACCUUUUGAUAGACAACAGCCUUUUCUACUAAUUUCGGGGACUUUUGUUGGGACAAUCUAGCGAAUUCCACAGAAUUUUCAGAAAUAAGAUUUUUGUGGUUUUCAGUUUCGCUUUUCACAAAUUCUGAGCAGUCAACCGUAUCCUCUACAGAAAUUUCACUCAUGUUUUCGUCCUCGUUAAGCUCAGAUGCAUUUUCAACAUCAAUUUUAUUUUCUGAGCUUACUUUGGCAUUUAGAGAGUCAAACUUUUGUAUGGUUUCGGUUCUCAGUUUAAGUCUAUCAUUUUCGUCCAACAGAUUUUUGAGCAUGUCCUUAUGGUCUUUGGAUUUAAUGAAGGACUCAAUUUUGUCCAGUCCAAUUUGAUAAGUUGGGUUGACAUCAUCAGACGAAAUCACACUCUCACAAUUGUAAGCUUCGGCAUCGAUUUCAUCCUCCUUAAAUUCUAGGAAUGGUAAAAUCAUACGGUGGAUCUUUUUGCCUAUCUCACAGUCCAAGUGCAGCUGAGUAAUAUUGGAAUAUAAACGUUUAGCUAUUAAACAAAAAACAUUUCGUUGUUUUAACAAUUUCAAAUUGUCUCUCUGCAAAUAAAUGUUUUCGUCUUUGACUUUAAUUAAUUCCGACUCUUUUAACUCAAUCCACAUACGCCGCUCCUCACUCUUCGACGCCACCCUGCUUAAUUGAUCAGUCAGGUUAGAAUUGGUGACUCUAGUUUGAGUUAAGCUACUAUCUAAAUGAGAAAUUCUUGUGUUAACGUUUUUUAGUUCUUUCUCAUAUGAGGAUGAUGGUACUUUAGAUGAAAUAAAAACAGAUUGUACCUUCUUUAUCAGUUCAUCAAGCUCAUUGAACUGUUGGCUGAGUGGUUUGGCUGUGAAGCACAUAUCUUCCUGCACUUUCGGUCCAUUGCUUCCUCCAUCGGUAUUGUAUCCCCUCAUUUGAGAUGCGCUUGACACCAUGAAGCAUUUUCCACCACUGCUUUCCUCCUUAGCCAUAUAAGCCUUUCCAUGAGUAGGCUUCCUCACUUCUUCGUCUUCUGAGUCAGUAGACCAAACUUCGGUGCUACCGAACUCAUCGUUAUUAACCGAACCCUGCACAAUAAGAGCAUUAAUAGAAGGGUUAGCGGUAGACUUUUUCUUCCUCAACUCAUCCAACCUCUUCUGCAGUACGGCUUCCUCAUCCUUUCCGUCAUCCUUUUCAGCCAUCUUUUUAAGAACACAGUCCUUAGCAUAGUGGUUCUUGCCACCACAGUAAAAACAGCUUACUCCGGAAUCGCCAUCUGCCUUCGGUUCCUUCUUGGACUCCUCAGCCUUCGGUUCAUUGUUUGCCUUUUCAGAGCUAUAACUCCCCUGCCAGUUUCGGUUUUUGUUGCUGGGGAAUCUCUUCUUUAUGAACCUCUUAGGAUUGGAUACCAUCAUGGCAUAAUCCUCAGUUGUGAGGUCAUAUUCUUCCAAGUUGAGCUCUUCAUCCUCCAUCACGGCUUUACUUUUAGAUAGGAGGGCCAACGAACCAAGACUAGACACAACGUUCUUCUCUUGAACAACAAUCUUCUCUUGGGACUUUAGAAUACCCACCAGUUUCGCCAAAGAGUAUGAUUUAAACUGUUCAUGGGCUUUGACUGUGGAAACUACUGCUCUCCAUUCCGAUCUCAGUCCGUUCAAGAAAGUAACCUUUUGUUCGAUGAGCUUCCUUUCAAUGUCGUGUUUGAUCAUCUUGCUGAGAAGAUGAUUGAAGCGAUCAAACGUCUGGGUCACGGUUUCUUCGGCCCCUUGCCUGAAUUCUCCAAACUCAGAUAGAAGCAAGGUUUGGAUGGAGUGUUCAAGAUCUUCGUCUGUUGAAUACAGUUCGCGAAGUCUAUCCCACACUUCCUUCGCCGUAGUGCAUGAGCUGACUAGUCUGAAUGUGUCGGACUGAAGGGCGAAUCUGAUCAACCUUAGUGCCUUAAUAUUGCACUGGAAUUUAUCUUUCUCAUCCUGCGCAAUAUUCGUCACGUCCUUGAGCAAAUCGUUGUAUUCUUUUUGCGUCUUAAUAACUCUGGAUGUCGCGGAAUGAGAAAAUGGUCCAUUGAUAAUGGCUUCCCAUAUGAGAAAACCAUUGUCCUCCGAUCCAAUCACGUAAUCUUCAAAAUGAUGUGCCCAUACUUCAUAGUCAUGGGUGUAUAAGAUUGGAAUCUUUGUCGUCAAACCGAUGCUGUUGGAAAUAUUAAUAGGGUUUGAUUGCGUCGCGUCCAUUAUGAUCGUAAAAACCUGUUCAAAGAUCAGACUUGUAAUAAAGCAGAUUAGGGAAAAACAAUAAAUAUAAAGAUACGUCAAUUAAGAUGACGGCUCAAUAAAUAUCGAUGAUUGCGGAAAACCCUAAAGGAAAUCUUUUUCACAGAAAAGAUGUGUAUCGAUUACACAGCCUCCUGCUCUGAUACCAAUUGAUGAGAAUUAAAACCUUUUAAUUUAUGAAGAUCGAUUAGAUCUUGAACAAGUGUAUGAAUAUAAAAACAGUAAGAACACAAUAAAAAGAAGAAAACAAGAUUGAAUCAAAUGAGUCGAAUGAUUAAAACAUAAUCCUCAGAAGAGCUCGAUUAAGAACAUCAACUGUAGAGGAUUGAUAGGUUACAAUACGAUUAAGAAACCUGGUGUACUCUAGAUGAAUCAUUAUUCGUAAAAAUCUCUAUAAUCGUAAACCUCUAUCUCGUUGUUAACCUAAUAUGCAUGCAAGCAUUAACUUAUAUACAAUACAUAAAAGGCACUCGGUUGGACAGGCCCAAACCGGAGUGUACAAGGCUAAACUAUCGAGCCCAAAAGACGCAACAACAAAACAAUCUUCAGCCCAAGACCAUAUAUAUAAUCUCAGAAACACUUGUGUAGCUGAUAAUCCGAUAUCAACAAUGAGAUUAUCUUGUUCCCCUAAAAAAACUAGAAUUGGAGGACGAUGCUCCCCUUAAACUUUUGAACCAGAGAUAUCAACAUCAUUUUCGUCCGAGAAAUCAAAGAAGUUAGCAUCGUCGUCGUUAUUGUUUGGAAUAUGAUUGAAUUCAUCAAAUUGAUUCGUUGCAUCUUAGAAUCCUUCAACAUUUGAUUCAAGAUACGGAAUAUCAUUCUCCCCCUUAACAUGAGAAGGUUGAAUCGGUUCGGAAUCAAAUGGAAAAAAGUGGGGGUUGGACUAGAAACAUUUUGGGAAAUUAGAACUACAAUUGAGGAUGGUCUUUAUCCAGAUUCUGAAUCAAGAGCGAUUUCUAAUGGUCCAAACAUGGUUUCAAAAUCAACUUCGUGAAUAAUUUGGGAAUUCGGACAUCCUUGCGAUGGAGCAACGGAGACCAUGAUAUGAAUAGUAACAUGGGUUGAGCUAGAAUUACAAACAUAGUUGUCAUCGAAGGUGACGUCAAAACUUUCUUCAAGAACAAGAGUCUGACGAUUUAGAACUCGACAUGAUUUUGAUUUGGUAGAGUAUACAAGGAAGAUUGAUUCAUUGGCUUUAGGAUGAAAUUUGUGAGCUGAUCACGAUUGUUUUUUAUAAAGCACCGACAGCCAAAGACAUGUAGAAAGGAGAUACUCGACUUACGACCAUUCAUGGCUUCAUAUCAUGUCAUGUUGAGAUGUCGAUUGAUGAUGCUUCGAUUUUGAGUGCAGCCAGCAGUAGGCACGGCUUACGACCAUUCAUUACUACACCAUUUUUUUAAGGAGUGUAGGGAGUUAAAAAUUUUGGUCAAUGCUUUGUCAGAGACGAAUUUUUCAAUGGUGAUAUUGCUGAAUUCCAAGCCAUUAUCACUUCAGAUUCGUCUAACAGGUAGUUUGAUGAGAACUUCAAUUCCUUUUAUAAAGUUAAUGAGUUUUGAGGUUGUCUCAGAUAUCAGUAUGAGGAACAAGACCCAUGUGAACCUUGUAAAAUCAUCCAUAAUCACAAGAAUGUACAUUUUGUGAUGUGGACUUUCUAGAGUGGAGGUUCCUCAAUGAUCAUUGUCAAGGAGUGCUAAUGGUUCUAAAAUUAAUUUUCCGAUAAUAACCGAAUGAGCUUUCUUGGAUUGCUUCCCAUAUUCACACGCAACACAUAAAUGAUCAUUUUCAAACUUGAGGAGUGGUAGACCUCUGACCAUUCCACUAGAAACCAAAUCAUUCAUAUAUCGGAAGUUAAAGUGAUCAAUCCUCCGAUGCCAUAACCAACUGAUGCCAGGAACGGCUAUUGUAACACUCGUGUUUCUAGCCUAGGCAUUUAUAUUGAGUUGAUAGUCUAGGUUAACCUUUGUAACUCAUUUUGAAGAAAUGAAAAGGAAUUAUGUGAAUAUUAUGUGAAUUAUGUGUUUUAUGCUUAAUUAUUAGGGCUUAAUUAAUUAAGAAUAAAAAUAAGCUUCAAAAUUAAAGUGUAAGAUAAGCCUGAUAUCUUUACAUAAUGUUGUAGUGGUCGAAACAAGGAUUUUGGGGAUAUAAAGAAUACCAAAAUCCGAGUUAUAACGAAGAAGUUAUGACCUGUCGAAGUUCCGCGACAAAACUGGCACGGUGCCGAAUGUCGUAAAAAGUGAGUUUUUGAUAAACUACUUUUUAGCCUUAGUAAUCUAAACGAAAUUCAUAGUAUUCGUUAAACCGAGAAGUUCGAUAAAAAGAACACCCAAAUCUGACUUCGUAUGAGGAAGUUAUGAAUUUUCGAAGUUUCAGCUUAGUAGUAGACAACUAAAAACUCGAAUUUUAGAUCGAACGAUUUUUAGCCGACACAACCUAAACUAGAAUUGAAGGUCUCGUCAUUAGGAGCACAACAGUAAAAAGUCUGACGAAAACGGACGUCGGAUGAAGAUGUUAUGAAUUUUUAACGGAUUUCCUGUCCCGGUCUGUUAAAAAUAAUAAUAUAAAAUUAAAAUCAAAAUUAGCCGACGAAAUCUAAAUGGAAGUUGUAGAGCGUAAUUUUAGCUACGCGUGCAUAUAAAAAACGUCAAAAAUGGAGCUCUUAUGCGAAAGUUAUGGAUUUUAGAAGUUUUGGCGCGAAAAUCGAGAAAAAUCGCAUAGUCACGACUUGCCACGUCACCCUCGCUGAAAAAGUNGUCACCGAGCUGCUGAGUCAUCCGAAGCCGUGGCACAUCCGAGAAGCGACGCGUGUGCAGCCUAGCUCCGAGCCUCGCUAUGCUUGCCGUGUGUUCCGAGCCUCGCAUAGCCUAGCUCCGAACUUCGCAUGUGCACCAGUAGACUCCAUUCCACUUAGGAGCUGCCAGCGAGCCCUCGCAGGUGCGACCCAUGUGCGAGCCAUGCGCAGCCCUCGUGCGAGCCACCUCCUUUGCGAGCCUCUGAUCUGCGACGCGUGUCUUCCUCCUGACCAUCAGAUCAGAAGCCUCGCCCCUAUAAAUAGAAGGGUGCGAGACCUCCCUGGUAAUUUUGGAAUUUUGCCAUAUUUAACCCCUAAACCCAUAUUUUCUUCAUCUUAACAUCCCAUGAAGCCCCGGUAUCGAUUGUAAAGCCCGGAAUACUCCACGAAGUGCCCGAGAUGCCCGGAAAAUUUAUCUUUUCGGUUUUGAAGCCCGACUUUUACAAAUCCAGGUUUCUCAAUAAAACUCCCAGUUUUAUUAGAAACGAUCGUUUUAGGAAACGAAUUGCUGCCCGAUUUUCAUCGAAACAUAUCAGUGGAUAGUUACUUUCAGCUUACACAUAGAUAUGAAGUAUUUUAUAUAAAUUACAUGUUGUGUGUGUAUAUUAUCUGUAUACUUGCUAUCUAUGCUGGAUUAAUGAUGUUAUACACGUUUUAAAUGAUUUAAAUUGUAUAUGUAUUUUAAAUCUACAAAAUGUGUUGGGUAGAACAUGAGUAGAUGUAAUAGUUGUUGUGUGAUAAAAUGAAAUAAUGAGAGGCCUCGUUAUAGAUGUUAUUGAUGAUCUAGUCAUCUAGCGGAGUAUAGAUGACGACCACGGACUAUUCUAGACAGUCCAGUGGAACACUAGCAGGCUCGCAACUAGUAGGUGUUUAUUCGAACUGUGUGUUUAUUUUAACUGUGUGCUCACUAGAUGUACUCCAUCCGCCACAUGGUUGCCUUUAGGACAUUUAUUGCUGNNNNNNNNNNNNNNNNNNNNNNNNNNNNNNNNNNNNNNNNNNNNNNNNNNNNNNNNNNNNNNNNNNNNNNNNNNNNNNNNNNNNNNNNNNNNNNNNNNNNUUAGAAGUUUUGGCGCGAAAAUCGAGAAAAAUCGCAUAGUCACGACUUGCCACGUCACCGUCGCUGAAAAAGUGCCACGUGUCCUGCUGAGUCACCAGGCUGCUGAGUCACCAACCUGCUGAGUCACCAACCUGCUGAGUCACCGAGCUGCUGAGUCAUCCGAAGCCGUGGCACAUCCGAGAAGCGACGCGUGUGCAGCCUAGCUCCGAGCCUUGCAAUGCCUGUCGCGUGUUCCGAGCCUCGCAUAGCCUAGCUCCGAACCUCGCAUGUGCACCAGUAGGCCGUGGUCCACUUAGAAGCUGCCAGCGAGCCCUCGCAGGUGCGACCCAUGUGCGAGCCAUGCGCAGCCACGUGCGAGCCACCUCCUCUGCGAGCUUCGGAUCUGCGACGCGUGUCUUCUUUCUGACUGUCCGAUCAGAAGCCUCGCCCCUAUAUAUAGAAGGGUGCGAGACCUCCUGGGUAACUUUGAAAAAUUGUCAAUUUUAACCCCUAAACCCAUAUUUCUUUCAUCUUAACAUCCCGCAAAGCCCCAGUAUCGAUUGUAAAGCUCGGAAUACUCCAUGAAGGGCCCGAGAAGCCCAGAAAAUUUAUCUUUUCGGUUUCGAAGCCCGACUUUUGCAAAGCCCGGUUUCUCAAUAAAACUCCCGGUUUUAUUAGAAACGAUCGUUUUAGGAAACGAAUUGCGGCCCGAUUUUCAUCAAAAUAUGUGAGUGUGUAGUUACUUUCAAUUUACACAUAGAUAUGAAGUAUUUACCUUGAAAUACGUGUUAUGUGUAAAUAUAUUAAUUGUUUAAUUAAGGUGACUGUUGAAUUGAUGUUUUAUACAAGUUUUAAACUGUAUAUGCUUUUUAUCUACAAAAUAUGUUGGGUAGAACAUGGGUAGAUGAAAUAGUUGAUGUGUGUUAAAAAGGUGAGAGGCCUCGAUGUUGUUGUUGUUGUUGUUGUUGUCAUCUAGCGGAGUAUAGAUGACGACCACAGACUUUCUAGACAGUCCAGUGGAACACUAGCAGGUUCGCAACUUGUAGGUGUUGAUGAAUUAAAUGUUCAUUGGCGUACUCCAUCCCCCUCAUGGUUGCCUUAAGGACAUGUAUGGCUGAGGAAACCCCUUAGCAGUAGUGUCCAUCCCGAUGAUAAUCCUUAGGCUAGGUCCCUUGUGAUAGGUGUUUAGGGACGUAAAGUGAGGACAACGGGAAUGGGUAAUCAGGGUUAUUGUUGAUUGGUGAACUUAAUAAGUAUAUUAUUAUUGUGGGUUGAAAACCCUAUAUGCUCACCAGGCUCCCAAGCCUGACCCACUCAGUUUUAUGAUUACAGGUAGUGGACCCCGAGCAUAGUCGGAGGAUGACGAGAGAUUUUUGGAUUAUAGGCCAGUAGUUGUAAAUAACUGUUGAAAGGCUUAUAAUGUCUUGUUUAUGCUUUUGAUCUGUAUCGGAACAUGACAUCCCGAGGUUUUGAUAUAUAUGGAAAAUAUAUACCUUCUUAAUGAAGGAUUUUGAUAAACUUUUAUCAUAUGUUGUUUGGGGACCAAUUCCGCAACAUCUUUUAAAAAGAUUUCUCUGAUUUUAUUUUAAAAAGCAUAAAUUAAAUCGGUCUUUUCUGGCCGAGAAAUUAGGGGCUGUCACAGUUGGUAUCAGAGCAUUAGUUUAAGCGAACUAAGAAAUUGUAGAAUUUCUAGACUUGAACUUAGAAUGCUAAGUGAUGAGUGUCUACCAUAUUUUAGACACGAGCACGACACGAGCACUAGUUUAUUUUAGGGAAGAUGCCUAAAAUGCCCUUAUGUGCUAAAUGCUAUGUGUUUGCCAUGUGUGCCAUUAUUUGUUCGGAUCUAUGGUCUGUUGCCGACCGGAUCUGGAAACCUUAUGUGUGUAGGAUUCUAAGCGUAUGAAUACGAGAUUAGAACUAACAUGUAAACGUUUCGGAGUGAUAAGGGAAUUGACAUGUCUAACAAGGAUAAAGACCUAAAUUCGCCUUAUUCGUUAUAUAGAUUGUAAUGGCCAUAACUCGUAGUGGAGCUGCAAAUGCAAACGGAAACAGGGAUCAACAGCCUCAACCUCAAGUAGUUGAGCAAGUACCUGUUGUAGGAGCUGCACCUGAGCCAAUGACGANACCAUGUUGGCUGAACAGAGGGAGGAAUUGAGGCAAAUGUUGCUGAACGACAGGGAUGAACCUUCAGUUCCUGUUGAACAACGUGAACUAAAUGACAAUCGAUCUGAAGAAUGGAACAACAGUAGAUCGGUUGGUCAUAGUGAACCGCUUGUGGUUGGGAGAAAUAACCACGAGGGUAGGAUGCAGAGAAAUUGGUGCAAGUAUAAGGACUUUAUGACAUGCAAGCCAUGGACGUUCAAUGGAAAAGAAGAUCUUGUCGGAGUAAUGGACUAGAUCUUGGAAAUGGAGUUGGCUUUCAUGACNAAAAAUUGACAGGUACGCAAAGGGACUUCCAUGGGAGUACGCGGUGGAGGACAUGAUUAAGGGAAGAGCUGCCAAGUCUGUGGAGGACAUGAUUAAGGGAAGAGCUGCCAGUAAAGUCGAGGUUGGCGAUAAGAGGAAAUUUGAAGGGUCUACUAAACCCAACAAAAAGAGCAAGUUCGGUUCAAAGAAGUUCGGGGGAGGAAAUGAAUUUAAAUGGUGCGAGAAGUGCAAGAAGAAGCACUCGGGAAAAUGUGGUGAGGAAGUAACCUGCUACAAGUGUGGGAAAACGGGGCACUAUGCCAAUGAGUGCACCACCAACAAGAGGGUGUGCUAUGAGUGUCGUGAAGAAGGGCAUAUUGCUAAGGAUUGCCCAAAGAAGAAAGAUGCGGGAAGGCCCAACAUACCACCGAAGCCGAAGGCGAGAGCCAUCCAGAUGACGCUCGAAGUUGCGAAAGAAGAAGCCGAUGUCGCUUCAGGUACCUUUCUCGUAAACGAAUUGGCUGCCCAUUUUUUUUUAAUUCUGGAGCCAAUUACUCCUUUAUAUCGCAUGAAUUUGGUAGAAAGCUAGCUUUGCCUGUAGAUAUGCUAGUUAAUGCUAUAAUAGUCGAGAUUGCUAGUGGCAAGUUUGUACCUGUUAGCCAUCGUAUGAAAAACAUCCUCAUUGACUUGGAUGGGAAUAAGUUCCAAGAGGAAUUAUUGCCUAUCGAGUUAAAUGGAUUCGACAUAGUUUUAGGAAUGGAUUGGCUUAGCGCCAAUGAUGCAGAAAUACUAUGUAGAAAGAAGAUAGUAAAAGUAAACCCGCCAGGGAAAGAGUCGUUUAUGGUGUACGGAGACAAACGCAGAGUAAACUCUGGAAUCAUUUCCCUAAUGAAAGCCAGAAAGUGUUUGGCCAAGGGAUGUACAUCAUAUCUAGCGUUCGUGAUCGAUGCCAAGAUGGAAAAGAAGGAGGUGCAGAAUAUUCCGGUGGUGUGUGAUUAUCCGGAAGUCUUUCCCGAAGAUCUUCCCGGAUUGCCCCCUGAUCGACAAGUAGAAUUUCGUAUCGACUUGUUACCAGGAACGACGCCGAUAGCGAAAGCACCUUAUCGAUUAGCGCCAACCGAAAUGAAAGAACUUAUGACACAACUUCAGGAGUUAAUGGACAAAGGUUUCAUUCGACCUAGUUCAUCACCCUGGGGAGCCCCUGUGUUAUUUGUAAAGAAGAAAGACGGAAGCAUGAGAAUGUGCAUCGAUUACAGAGAGCUGAACAAAGUGACGAUAAAGAACAAGUACCUGUUGCCAAGGAUCGAUGACUUGUUCGACCAGUUGCAGGGUUCGAGCUAUUUCUCGAAGAUCGAUCUUAGGUCGGGAUACCAUCAACUAAAGGUGAGAGAGCAGGAUAUCGAAAAGACUGCUUUUAGAACGAGAUAUGGACACUAUGAAUUUUUGGUUAUGUCGUUCGGACUAACCAAUGCCCCAGCAGCUUUCAUGGAUUUGAUGAAUAGGGUUUGUAAACCUAUCUUAGAUAAAUCUGUGAUAGUAUUCAUAGACGAUAUCUUGAUUUAUUCGAAAAGCAAGCAGGAACAUGAAAAGCAUCUACGUGAAGUGCUAGAAGUCCUGAAAAAGGAGAAACUGUAUGCAAAGUUCUCCAAAUGUGAAUUUUUGAUUCAAGAAGUCCAAUUUUUUGGUCAUGUGGUUAACCAAGAAGGAAUAAUGGUUGACCCAACAAAGAUUGAAGCUGUAAUGAAGUGGGAACAACCAAAAAGUCCUACAGAGAUACGAAGCUUUUUAGGAUUAGUUGGAUAUUACCGAAGGUUUAUCCAAGGCUUUUCUUUGAUUGCUACUCCAUUAACAGCUUUGACCCACAAAGGAGCUACUUAUGCUUGGAAUGAGAAGCAUAAGGAAGCCUUUGAGAAGUUGAAGAAGAGAUUGUGUGAAGCACCGAUUGUUUCAUUGCCUGAAGGAGCUGAUGACUUCGCAGUUUAUAGCGAUGCAUCUAGAGUUGGGUUAGGUUGUGUUCUGACCCAAAGGGAUAAAGUGAUUGUGUAUGCAUCAAGGCAAUUGAAGGAGCAUGAAAAGAACUACCCCACUCAGAUCUGAAGUUGGCAGCGGUAGUAUUUGCCUUAAAGAUAUGGAGGCAUUAUCUUUAUGGCACAAAGUGUAAACUUUUCAUUGAUCGUAAGAGUCUCCAAUAUCUCUUUAAUCAAUAGGAAUUGAACAUGAGGCAACGACGUUGGCUAGAGUUACUCAAGGACUACGACUGUGACAUACUUUACCACCCUGGUAAAGCAAAUGGGGUUGCUGCUGCUCUCAGUCGGAAGGUAAACCUUGAAAAGAAAAGGCCAAGAGCGUUGAGAAUUGAAGUUGUCUCGACAAUUGUGGAAAGUAUAAAGAAAGCUCAAGAGGAAGCUUUAGAGAAAAAUGACCGAAAGGAAGAACGUUUGGGCAAAAUGUUAGUGUUCGGUACAAACAACCAAGGGUUGAAGGUAUUCCAAGAUAGAAUUUGGGUACCUAAGACGGGCGGAAUAAGAGAUCUUCUGAUGGAAGAAGCUCACAAGACCAUGUACUCAAUUCAUCCCGGCAGUACGAAAAUGUAUAGGGAUCUAAAACCCUAUUAUUGGUGGCCGACGAUGAAGCUCGAUGUUGCUAAGUAUGUGGCCGAGUGUGUAACUUGUGCUAGGGUUAAGGCACAACAUCAGAAACCGUAUGGGAGUUUAGAACCUUUACCCGUACCCAUGGGUAAAUGGGAAGACAUCACCAUGGAUUUUGUGACUAAACUACCCAGAACAAGGAAUGGUCACGACAUAAUUUGGGUGGUCGUUGAUCGCUUCACUAAGAGUGUGCAUUUCAUAGCAGCCAAAGAGAAAUGGUCUAUGGAUAAACUUGCGAAUUCUUACGUGAAGGAAAUUGUAAGGCUUCACAGUGUUCCGCUAACGAUUGUAUCCGAUCAUGACAGCCAUUUUAACUCAAGGUUUUGGAGGAUUCUACAAGAGGAAUUGGGUACUAAGUUGUGUUUGAGUACAGCUUACCAUCCGCAAACCGAUGGUCAGAGCGAGCGAACGAUUCAAACAUUGGAGGAUAUGCUGAGAGCAUGUACCCUAGAAUUCCAAGGUAACUGGGAUGAACACUUACCUUUAGUAGAAUUCUCCUAUAAUAAUAGUUUCCACUCAAGCAUUAAGAUGGCACCUUAUCACGCUUUGUAUGGGGAGAAGUGUCGAACGCCAUCAUGUUGGCUGGAAGCUGGGGAAAAGCAGUUUAUGGGACCUGAAAUAGUCCAUGAGACUGCUGAAAAGUUGAAAGUGAUAAGGGAAAGGAUGUUAGCUGCUCAAGAUCGACAAAAGAGUUAUGCUGACAAGAAAAGACAACCGAUAUCCUUCGAUGUUGGAGAUUCGGUUUUACUUAAAGUCUCGCCGUGGAAGGGACUUAUAAGAUUUGGUAAGAGAGGGAAGUUGAGUCCAAGGUUUAUUGGACCAUUUAAAGUUCUUCAGAGGAUCGGGAAUCAAGCUUACAAGCUAGAGUUACCGGAAGAACUAGAGGGUAUUCAUAACACCUUUCAUGUGUGUUAUUUGAGAAAGUUCACAGGAGAUGUGCCCGACAUAAUUCCGAUUUCUGAGUUAAGGUUGGAUGAAAACAAGAGGUUGAUCGAAGAACCUGAGGCAAUCGUUGACCGUAAGACUAUGAAGUUACGACGCAAGAUGGUCGAUUUAGUGCUUGUGCGCUGGAAACAUACGAAUGGACCAAAUCUCACUUGGGAAACGGAGAGUGACAUGAUGAGUCGCUACCCGCAGUUGUUUGGUGAUAUGUGAUUCCGGGGACGGAAUCAUCCUAAGGGGGAGAGAAUUGUAACACUCGUGUUUCUAGCCUAGGCAUUUAUAUUGAGUUGAUAGUCUAGGUUAACCUUUGUAACUCAUUUUGAAGAAAUGAAAAGGAGUUAUGUGAAUAUUAUGUGAAUUAUGUGUUUUAUGCUUAAUUAUUAGGGCUUAAUUAAUUAAGAAUAAAAAUAAGCGUCAAAAUUAAAGUGUGAGAUAAGCCCGAUAUCUUUACAUAAAGUUGUAGUGGUCGAAACAAGGAUUUCGGGGAUAUAAAGAAUACCAAAAUCCGAGUUAUAACGAAGAAGUUAUGACCUGUCGAAGUUUCGCGACAAAACCGGCACGGUGCUGAAUGUCGUAAAAAGUGAGUUUUUGAUAAACUACUUUUUAGCCUUAGUAAUCUAAACGAAAGUCGUAGUAUUCGUUAAACCGAGAAGUUCGAUAAAAAGAACGCCCAAAUCUGACUUCGUAUGAGGAAGUUAUGAUUUUUCGAAGUUUCAGCGUAGCAGUAGACAGCUAAAAACUCGAAUUUUAGAUCGAGCGAUUUUUAGCCGACACAACCUAAACGAGAAUUGAAGGUCUCGUCAUUAGGAGCACAACGGUAAAAAGUCUGACGAAAACGGACGUCGGAUGAAGAAGUUAUGAAUUUUUAACGGAUUUCCUGUCUCGGUCUGUUAAAAAUAAUAAUAUAAAAUUUAAAGUAAAAAUUAGCCAACGAAGUCUAAAUGGAAGUUGUAGAGCGUAAUUUUAGCUACACAUGCAUAUAAAGAAUGUCAAAAACGGAGCUCGUAUGAGAAAGUUAUGGAUUUUAUAAGUUUUGGCGUGAAAAUCGAGAAAAUUCGCAUAGUCACGAGUUGCCACAUCACCCUCGCUGAAAAAGUGCCACGUGUUCUACUGAGUCACCAGGCUGCUGAGUCACCAACCUGCUGAGUCACCAACCUACGGAGUCACAGCUGCUGAGNCGCGUGUUCCGAGCCUCGCAUAGCCUAGCUCCGAACCUCGCAUGUACACCAGUAGACUCCGGUCCACUUAGAAUCUGCCAGCGAGCCCUCGCAGGUGCGACCCAUGUGCGAGCCAUGCGCAGCCCAUGUGCGAGCCACCUCCUCUGCGAGCUUCGGAUCUGCGACGUGUGUCUUCCUCCUGACUAUCCGAUCAGAAGCCUCGCCCCUAUAAAUACAAGGGUGCGAGACCUCCCGGGUAAUUUUGGAAUAUUGCCAUAUUUAACCCCUAAACCCAUAUUUUCUUCAUCUUAACAUCCCAUGAAGCCCCGGUAUCGAUUGUAAAGCCCGGAAUACUCCACAAAGUGCUCGAGAAGCCUGGAAAAUUUAUCUUUUCGGUUUCGAAGCCCGACUUUUACAAAGCCCGGUUUCUCAAUAAAACUCCCGGUUUUAUUAGAAAAGAUCGUUUUAGGAAACGAAUUGCUGCCCGAUUAUCAUCAAAUCAAGUGAGUGUAUAGUCACUUUCAUUUUACACAUAGAUAUGAAGUAUUUACCUUAUAAUANNNNNNNNNNNNNNNNNNNNNNNNNNNNNNNNNNNNNNNNNGGAUGAACAUUGUUAUACAUGUUUUCAAUGAUUUAAACUGUAUAUUUAUUUUAUAUCUACGAAAAUGUUGGGGUAGAACAUGGGUAGAUGUAAUAGUUGCUGUGUGAUAAAAUGAAAUAAUGAGAGGCCUCGUUAUAGAUGUUAUUGAUGAUCUAGUCAUCUAGCGGAGUAUAGAUGACGACCACGGACUAUUCUAGACAGUCCAGUGGAACACUAGCAGGCUCGCAACCUGUAGGUUUUUAUUCGAACUGUGUGUUUAUUUUAUUGCUGAGGAAUCCCCUUAGCAGUAGUGUCCAUCCCGAUGAUAGUCCUUAGAAUAGGUCCCUUGUGUUGGAUGUCUUAGGGACGUAAAGUGAGGAUAACGGGAAUGAGUAAUCGGGUUUGAUUGGUUUGAUAAAGUUAAUAAACUUAUUUAUUGUGGGUUGAAAACCCUAUAUGCUCACCAGGCUCCCAAGCCUGACCCACUCAGUUUUAUGAUUACCGGUAGUGGACCCCGAGCAUAGUCGGAGGACGACGAGAGAUUUUUGGAUUAUAGGCCAGUAGUUGUAAAUAACUGUUGAAAGGCUUAUAAUGUCUUGUUUAUGCUUUUGAUCUGUAUCGGAACAUGACAUCCCGAGGUUUUGAUAUAUAUGGAAAAUAUAUACCUUCUUAAUGAAGGAUUUUGAUAAACUUUUAUCAUAUGUUGUUUGAGGACUAAUUCCACAACAUCUUUUAAAAAGAUUUCUCUGAUUUUAUUUUAAAAAGCAUAAAUUAAAUCGGUCUUUUCUACCCAAGAAAUUAGGGGAUGUCACAGCUUUUGAGAGUAGACAAAGUUGAUAUUUUCUGAUGAUCAUGUUGAUGUCUAGAGGAUACAUAUUUUUUGCGAUUCGAGUUGAUGAGACAUUCCUUCUGGACUUUUUUCAUGACAUAGUUAUGCUUUUUGCAGAACUCAACUUGUUGGUUGGAGUCAUUAAGUUGAGCCACAUAAUCAAAUUGUGCUUCAAGUCAGCUACAUAUGCCACAUUUAAGACAGAGAAAUUUCCAUUGGUGAGAAUGCCAUAACCUCUGAUCUGAGAGUUGGACUUGUUGUCAUACGUCACAUAGCCAACAUUUGGUGAAAGUUUAAGAUCAUGCAAAAAAAUUUCUGCCCCGUCAUCUGCAUGGAACAGAUACUAUCAAUAUACCAUAUUGUUUCUUCUUCUGAAGCACAUAGUGCCUUCAAAAAUUAGUGAAUUUUGGUGUUUUUUUUCUCCAAGUUAGAUUUUUGGAAAUGGGUACGGGAUUUGGACUUAUGUUGUCACUUUGGAGCAAUAGAUGUGUCGGAAGGUUUAUUCCAAGAUCCUUUUGGAAAGAAGCAUAAAGCCAGGGUCUUUUAAUUGAUCCAGAAACCAUAUUCAACAACAGGUUGUUUGGAAACAACUUUUCUUGGAUCAACAGUUUUUGAAGCUAUAGGAAUCACAAUGUCACUUGGAGUUGCAGUUUCUUUUUUGACAUUCUUCACCUCAAUUCAAACUUUUGGUUUGAAUCUUUUGAAAAUUUUUGAGUAACAGUAUUUUUAGCAACUCGUUCCUCGUUUGAUACUUUUGAUGGCACAUUUGGAUUUGAAAGUUGUUGUGGUUUGAAAAUUGUACCAUCCGAUAUAGCAAGGAACAAAGUGGAAACUGUCAGAAAAAAGUUAGUAUUUGUUGGAUGAGCAUCAACAUAUUUUUUUUAGAAGGGGACUAACAACCUUGUUUUGAGUUACAAAACUAGGAGGAUUACAACGUCUCUUAGGGUUCUUAACAUGAACCAAUGUGUUGUGGUUCCUAGUGGAUGGGCUCACAUCCCAAGACACUUUCUUUUUAGAAUUCUCAAUGAAUCCAAAAUCGUGUCUUGACCUAAUUUCCUUUUUGAGAGCAUUUUUGGAUCCUACCUUAGGAUCAACAAAAUCUUUACAAUUCAAAGAUGGUUUCUUGCUUAACUCAUAUGAUGACUUGGAAGAUUGUCCUACAUAUGGGUUGUUAAAGUUAGGCCUGAUUGGAACUAAGUUUGUUUUUGAAAUCACUUGAGAAUCAGAAACAGAAGAUUCGGAUGAAUAAUCUACCAGGAUUUCUUCUUCUACAUCACUAUCAAAAGAUGCCUAGAUAAAAUCUGAUUUGUCCGAGUCAGGUCUAGUUGUCUAUGCAAUUAUUUCCUCAACAACACAAUUGUUAGAUGGAAUUUGGUUUGGAACUUGAACUACCGUACGGCUGAUGCUAUGGAAGGAUUCCAAGGUCUAAUUCACAUCCGGGGGUAUUACAGGUGGAAGAGGCAUGGAAUCAGGACACUUGACAACUAUGGGUUGAAACUCAAGAAUCAGGGAUGUAUACCGGUCCGAGGUCUCAGGUAGGGGUGACAAUGGUGAGACAGGGGUAUUCGGAUAUGUGUGGUUCGGAACGUCUCCCAAAAAAGUUAGACCUUGUAACUCCUAUUCGGUACGAGUAAUUGGUUUCGGAAACUCACUUCCGAGACCAAGUGCUUUGGACCAAGGAUAACGAAAAUUAUCAGUCGUCCGUUUAUAUAUGGAAUGAUGUAAAGCAUCAACAUUGGCAUUCAAAUGUUUGUUAUAAAAAAUUAAAACAUUCCUUUCAGAAUAAGUGAUUUCACAUUUGUCUUUAAGGAUGAUACAAUCAUCUUGUGACAUUACAAGUUCACGCUCUAAUGACUUUAUUUUAACUUUCGUAUGCUCAAAACGUAACUUAAGACUGCUGGCACCUGAAGUGAUGUGUCUUUGGCUCGCUCCUUUGCCCAAUUUUAUUACCGGUUUGGGCCUGUGAAACCGUGUUUGUUUUUAUUAGGGUUUAGUAUUUAAGGUGCAUGCAUGCAUCCUUUGUUAUCAUCGCUUUUAUUAUUCUCUUAAUUUUACUACAAAUCCUAUCUCGCCUCUACAGUGGAAGUUCUUCAUCAAGCUCUGCUGAGGCGUGACUAUUCUUGAAUCAUUAAGCAAUACUUUGAUUCCAUCUCGUGUUUACUAUGUUUGUUUGUUUUUAUUGAUUAACCUGUUGAAGAUCUAAUCGAUCCAAGAGUUUUCAACUCAUCAAUUGGUAUUAGAGCAUGAGACUGUGUAGUCCAUACACAUCUCUUCUGUCGAAGAAGAUUUUAGGGUUUUCCGCUUUGAUUGAUAUUGUUGGAGCCCUCAUCUGCUAUUGAGGUAGUUCUUUAAUAGUCGAUCUUACCCUAACAUUAUUUACAAGUCUGAUCUUAAGCAAGUUUUUGAACAAAAAUCAUCAUGUACAUGGAAGAUUCUCAGACAAAUCCAAUCAAUAUCUCCAACAGUAUAGGAUUGACGACAAGGAUUCCUAUAUUAUACACUUAAUAUUAUGAAGUCUGGACGCAUCACUUUGAAGACUACCUGACUGGUUCAGAGGACAAUGGAUACUUGAUCUGGGAGGCGAUUACUGUAUGUGUUGGGUUUUGAGCAUUCUAACACUCCUAAGUGUACAUGCAACCCUAAAUACCUUGGAUCUAUGUUUUCUCUAUUAUACAUGCAAAUAAGAACUUCCAAGGUAUUAUCCUAAUCUAGCAUACAAAACAAUAACUAUAGCAAGAUAGAAUACAUACCUCUUUGGUGUAGAAAAUCUUCAUGAAGCUUGAGUGCCUAGUGCCCCAAGUGUGACACCUCAAAUGGAAUCACAAUCAUCAAAACACUUAGAAUAACUUGAGAGAAUUCUACAACUCAUGAAAUCGGAUAGCCCUCUCUAGAAUAAUACUAGUGGCCGAUUUUGCCAAGAAUAAUAUCUUUAUAUAGUGUUACAAUUAGGGUAAACUCUUAAUUGUCAUGGCUUUCCAUUUCCUUGGAUCCAUGGGUUCAAAUACACCAUAGAGCAUCCAUGAACCACCCUAUGGGUUUUAGCCCAACUUGAUUAUCCAUGGAGCAUUAGCCCACUAUACAAGUAUGGAUGAUUUACACAAUCAACCCAUAUAUUUAAUUAGUCUUCUUUUGAUCAAUUAAUUAAUCCUAGAUUAAUUCUUGAUCAAUACUAAUUAAAUAAUCUUAUUAUUCUUAUUAUUAAUAUACUAGAACUUAUAAUAUAUUAAUAACCAUAAGUGUCUUAUUUCUCUCAUUUAGUCUAUCCAAGUGCAUGAUGCCAUGCAACCCAAAUGGACCAUGCCGGGUCGGGUCAAGUCUUACCAAUUAUAGUUAUGGACUUAGACAUUAAUCCAACAGUCUCCCACUUGGAUAAGUCUAAAACUAUUAUUGCGUAUGACUUCAGGAACCAACUGGCAAUCGUAGCUCUCAAAAGCUUCUGUCGAACUCUGACCUUGUAGAUGAACUCUGACCUUUGUCAAUGACUUGUCCAUUAGAUAAGGGAUCAUAUAUUCCUCCAUUCUAGAUAUCAUAUGGACUGAGACAUGGAUUAUAAUCAUUCUCUCUGUCCAUUUGUUGUUUCCCGAUUUCCGAUUUAUGACGACUGACUAAUUGAACAAAUCAAAUCAGUCCUGGCCCGGCCGAGCACUUCCAUUUGUCAUCAUCAAAUCAUCGAGGGGCCCACAGAUAUCGCUUUUAUCCCGAAGGUAAAAGGAAUGGAUAAACUUCGACUCAUAUGGCUUGUUCUACUACUUGUUGAAUCAUACACAAAGGCACGUUUUAUAGCACCGAGUUACCAAAUGCGUUUUCGUGCAAUCAAUGUACUAUCAACUCAUAGUAACAACUCAUAUCUCUAGGUUUGAAGAAUAUAAGAUAUUAUCGUCUCAUGAUCACUCGUGAUAAAAUCCAUGAAGUGAUUCCAAUGAGCGCGGGUUGAAUCCAAUACUCAGAACUUAUGAGCACUCAUGAGUGUUGUAGCCCUUUGUCCAACACCUUAGACCUCUACAAGCCAACCCAUGACAGUCUUAAUUCAUAUCUACUUCCAACAUAUGACCGACUGUGGAUGGUUUGAAUAACUUAGUCAUUCCGGAAGAAUAACCCAGUUUAUUCGGGAAGUCAAAACAUGCAAAAUGAAACACAAUAAUAAUUGAAUCCAAUAUGGUAUCAACCCUUUGAACAUAAAUAAAACACCUUUUAUUUAUCACCAUAUGAUUACACAUUAUUCAUUGUAUACUGUUUCAGCUAUCAACUUUAUUCUUGAAUUUAAAACAAUAGUUGUCCCAUGCUCCAAGCAUGUACACUAUGUUUUCUUAAACACUAGUCAUGCCACACACCAAGUAUGCAUACUAUGUUUGUCUAUGAUCUUUACUUUGUGAACUAGAUCAAUUGAACAUAACUUCAAUGAUUCUCUUUUCACACUCCCAAAUCCUUACUGCAAAUGCAAGAAUUCCAAAUUCAUGCCAUUUACUGAAAUCUGUUAGAUUCUAAACUUAUAUGCAUUGAUCCUCUUGUAAUGAUUAUGCACAAAGUCACAAAGACUUGGCAACAAUCAUUACAGAGUAUUCCAAAGGAGAUCAACUCCUUGGAAAUAUCCUUCUUGCAUUAAGUUUCCUUAAUCUUACACAGAUUGAAAAUUCUAACUUUGAAACAUUUCCAGAUUCCAUUUUGACUAUCACUUCUGAACAAGAGUUGCCUCCUUACAGAUUAUGUCAAUAUGGUCCUUCCAGAAUUAUCACUAUACUUCCAAUUGUCCUUGAGCAACCAAUCUUUGGUAAACCUUAGAUUGUCCUCGACAAUUGUUUAAUCCUUUUAGUCAUAUCCAGUUCUAAACCUUUUCCCUUCUUAAUGCCCCAGGCAUUUGGAAAAUUUUAGAACGGAUGAAUAUAGCACAUGUAAUCGAUCCUAUAUCCGAAGCAUAUGGGACACGAUUCAUGAUGUCUCACAUAAAGACUAAACCAGUCUUUUGCUAUAAUAUUUCCAUUUCAAUUUGCCAAGUUCUCAUAAUUCAGAUUAUGAAAAGGGAUGCCGUAAUCAUAAUCGAAUUUUAGAACGCAAAUAAUGGACCCAUAUACAGAAUUUCCUUAUGUUGAGCCAUUCCAACAUGAAAUUCAUAUAUAUCCUUGACUAAAUGAUUAAAACCUCACGAUCUAAGCUUAUAGAUUUGAGAUGAAGCAUAAUUUCCUCUCCCUUAAUUAUAGCAAAACAACUUUUUCCCAAUUGAAACUUUUGUUUUCUAUAAUUAACAUUGCUAACUUGCAAUACUUAUCAUAAUUAUCAUGCUCCCACUAACAUGAUGAUUAUUAGCAUAACACUUAUGCUCCCACUAGCUUUGACAUGUACUCAGAAAUCAGCUGGACUUCUAGAAAUCAAUACUUCAUUGACUUUCUUACCAAAGUUCAGAUUUCUGAUACUAGAUUGUUUUGAUAAAACUUUAUCAAAAUCAUACACCUUCCCUUAGAUAGCACACUUGUGUGUCUAAACAAUUAUGAAGAGGGAUGCCGUAAUCAUAAUGGUUAGACCUUUUUGCCACUUCUCACAAGUCCAGGUUAGUGUGCCGGUAAACCACACACGCUCCACUAACGACUUUGAGAAUGCAAAUAUCACAAUUGCUAUCUAGCUAAAAUCUACUUAGUGAAAGUGUUUCCUCACCAUCAUUUUCAUGAAUCGGAGAGAAACCUUAUGACACUUAGAUUUAAUGGUGUAUGUGUUCUUAUCCAUGUGAAUUGUCAAAACCAUAGUCACAAGACAAGGAUAAUGACAAAUCCAAACUCAUAUGGACUGAACUCAAUCUUAAUUUCUUGCCACCUGGCAGCUCAAGGGCCUGCCAUUGCUUCCAAGUUGUUGUGCAACAAAUUGAGAACUCUAAGAACUCAUAUGCAAAGCCAACUUUAACUGGAAUGGGCACAGAAUAUGUCAACACGAUAGGUUAUAAACCUCAAGUCGUGUGCUAGUGAAGAACUUCAGGUUUUAUUCUUGAUUAGUUCUUGAGACUUUCAAGACCUUUAAGACUCCCACUGUCCUCUUGACCUAUAAGACUCCCUUGUCAAAUAUCCAAGAGAUAGUGUGGAUUCUAAUCAAGACAAACACUUCACACAAUUGGCCUAAGUUGGUCUUUGUUUUAUCCAAAACAUCACAACUUACCAAUUUCAAAUGUACAAGAGUAGAAAACUUUUACUCUUACAUUUGACAAGUGUUUUAAACCUUCUUUAAGACAUGUCACUCAAGUUACAAUCUUGGAGUAUGACUCUAAGACUUGUAUUGGAACGAAGUAUGACUCAUCUUCUUGAUUUAACCAUUUCAACAAUUCAAGAUCCCUCUUCUUAGUCAUAAGAAUGCACUAAGAUUUCCUUAGAGAACUAAUUGUGCUAUGGUUUCUUAAUCAUUAAGAUGAUCACAAAACUGAUACUAAAGUACUCUCCUAUCUUUUCAGAUUUGAGAAACUUUUAUCCUUCUGCCUAAUUUGAUUCUUCUUAUUCGCUCUGCCUUACAUUGGAACCAUUUCCAAUGUCUCAGAUUUACACUUAAGCUUGUAAGUAUAACCAUAUUUACUGAGCUUUAGUAAACUAUUACGAAUAGUCUUAUCGAUCUUUUGUGGUGCACUUGACCAGUGCACAAGAAUGUGUACUCGAUCCCUUAGUCCUUCACUUGACUCACACAUCCAUGUGAACAAGUAAUUAGUCUUAAUUUUCCAAUACUUGAAAGUUCUCAUUCAUCAUGCUAUACAACUUGCAUGAUUCCAAGUUCUGGUCCAAUUGAAACAUGGGUGAUUAGAAUCUUUCCUUAUUUGGUAAAUUUAGACAUUACCACAAAUGAAAGAAUCAAUUUCAUAUUUCCAUUCUUGCUCUUAAUGGAAUCAUAUAAGCAACAAUUUUUCCUCAAAUGCCAUUGUAAGGAUAUUUUAAAAUAAAUAAAAACAAAAUUUUUUUCUUUAUUUUAAAACUAUGCGGAAAAACUUAUCCUUAAAAUCCAUAUGAGAACUUGUUGUUAUCUAUUCCUAAGCAAUAUCUCAUAACUCCUAAGAAGUAGCUCAAGAAUCCGAUUUUUCAAACUAUGCGAUAGAAAUCCAUCUAUGCGAUCAGAUUCAGCAUAUUCUUCCUUUAAGUUUCUUCACUUUCCUUUGAUUCUUAAACCAUCACCAUGCGACCCGGUCACAUCAUGUAUCAAGAAUCUCAGAAUAGAAACUUAACAGAGUUAGAUAGUGGAUUUUACCUGAAGUAGAGUCAAACUUAUUGACUUUAACAUCCUUAGGUAAAUUUGGCAGCUUCGCAACCAAUGCCCUUUCUUUGGCAAUACAAACAUAUGGACCCUUUGAUAAUGGUACACAGGACUAUCACAGACUUAGCUUUUCUCUUUACCAUUUGGUCAACCGAGUUGACUAUAGCCGAUCCCUUUCCAUUGGGAAGAGAAUGCUUUACUGGAUAUCCAAUGUCAUCAUUGUCAAUGUCCAUAAAGUUUUAGGAAGUUGAUCUUAACAAAUAGAUAAGAUCAUUAAGGGUCUUGUCAUAGUCUUUUUCAUAGGUGUUCCAAAAGAACUCACUAUGUGACUUAGAAAGUAGUUGAACCACCAACUUUCUCAAGACUUUGACACCCAACUCUCCCGGCUUGUCAAUAUGUGACUACAUCUCCAAGAUGUGACCACACCUAGACCUUGCCUUGCCNNNNNNNNNNNNNNNNNNNNNNNNNNNNNNNNNNNNNNNNNNNNNNNNNNNNNNNNNNNNNNNNNNNNNNNNNNNNNNNNNNNNNNNNNNNNNNNNNNNNNNNNNNNNNNNNNNNNNNNNNNNNNNNNNNNNNNNNNNNNNNNNNNNNNNNNNNNNNNNNNNNNNNNNNNNNNNNNNNNNNNNNNNNNNNNNNNNNNNNNNNNNNNNNNNNNNNNNNNNNNNNNNNNNNNNNNNNNNNNNNNNNNNNNNNNNNNNNNNNNNNNNNNNNNNNNNNNNNNNNNNNNNNNNNNNNNNNNNNNNNNNNNNNNNNNNNNNNNNNNNNNNNNNNNNNNNNNNNNNNNNNNNNNNNNNNNNNNNNNNNNNNNNNNNNNNNNNNNNNNNNNNNNNNNNNNNNNNNNNNNNNNNNNNNNNNNNNNNNNNNNNNNNNNNNNNNNNNNNNNNNNNNNNNNNNNNNNNNNNNNNNNNNNNNNNNNNNNNNNNNNNNNNNNNNNNNNNNNNNNNNNNNNNNNNNNNNNNNNNNNNNNNNNNNNNNNNNNNNNNNNNNNNNNNNNNNNNNNNNNNNNNNNNNNNNNNNNNNNNNNNNNNNNNNNNNNNNNNNNNNNNNNNNNNNNNNNNNNNNNNNNNNNNNNNNNNNNNNNNNNNNNNNNNNNNNNNNNNNNNNNNNNNNNNNNNNNNNNNNNNNNNNNNNNNNNNNNNNNNNNNNNNNNNNNNNNNNNNNNNNNNNNNNNNNNNNNNNNNNNNNNNNNNNNNNNNNNNNNNNNNNNNNNNNNNNNNNNNNNNNNNNNNNNNNNNNNNNNNNNNNNNNNNNNNNNNNNNNNNNNNNNNNNNNNNNNNNNNNNNNNNNNNNNNNNNNNNNNNNNNNNNNNNNNNNNNNNNNNNNNNNNNNNNNNNNNNNNNNNNNNNNNNNNNNNNNNNNNNNNNNNNNNNNNNNNNNNNNNNNNNNNNNNNNNNNNNNNNNNNNNNNNNNNNNNNNNNNNNNNNNNNNNNNNNNNNNNNNNNNNNNNNNNNNNNNNNNNNNNNNNNNNNNNNNNNNNNNNNNNNNNNNNNNNNNNNNNNNNNNNNNNNNNNNNNNNNNNNNNNNNNNNNNNNNNNNNNNNNNNNNNNNNNNNNNNNNNNNNNNNNNNNNNNNNNNNNNNNNNNNNNNNNNNNNNNNNNNNNNNNNNNNNNNNNNNNNNNNNNNNNNNNNNNNNNNNNNNNNNNNNNNNNNNNNNNNNNNNNNNNNNNNNNNNNNNNNNNNNNNNNNNNNNNNNNNNNNNNNNNNNNNNNNNNNNNNNNNNNNNNNNNNNNNNNNNNNNNNNNNNNNNNNNNNNNNNNNNNNNNNNNNNNNNNNNNNNNNNNNNNNNNNNNNNNNNNNNNNNNNNNNNNNNNNNNNNNNNNNNNNNNNNNNNNNNNNNNNNNNNNNNNNNNNNNNNNNNNNNNNNNNNNNNNNNNNNNNNNNNNNNNNNNNNNNNNNNNNNAAAGUUUACGACAAAUUCAAACUCAUAUGGACCGAACUUUCUUAAUCUUGAUUUCUUGCCUUAUGGUAGCACAGCUGCCCACCAUGUCUUCCAAGUAGUUAAGCAGCUCACCCUUUCCUAUCAAUGUACCUUUCAUUGAUUAAGGUGCUUUGCCUUUUAUGCGUUCAAAAUGAGAACUCAUAGAACUCACAUGCAUAAUCAACUCGAUUGGAUUGGCAUAGAAACGAAAAUAAUGUCAUCACGAUAGGUUGUAAACCUUAAAUCGUGUGCUAGUGAUGAUUAAUAAGGUUUAUUUGAUUUGUUCUUGAAACCUUUCAAGACCAUUAAGACUCCCACUGACUCCUUGACAUAUAAGAUUCUCUUGUCAAUAAACAUUUCUUGACAAACAAAUAUUCAAGAGUUAGUGUAGUUUUUAUCAAAACACUUCAUAAAUUGGUCCUAGUCGGUCUUUGUCUUAUCCAAGACAUCACAACUUUCCACAUUUGAUGAAUGUUAUAAACCUUCUUAAUACUUAUCACUCAAUGUCACAAUCUUAACUCUAAGACUUGUUUUGGAACGAAGUAUGAUUGACUUCUUGAUUUAACCAUUUCUUCAAUUCUUGAUUCCUCUUCUUAGACAUACAAUUGUACUAAGACUCACUUAGAGGAUCAAUUGAGAUAUGGUUUUUAAUCAUUAAGACCUAUCAUAAAGCAUAAAAGGUACUCUCCCUUCUUCUUAGAAUGGAGAAACUUUUAUCUCUCUGCCUUCUUGAUUCUUCUUAUUCUUUCUACUAUUGAUUUAAACUUUUUCAAUCAACUAAGAUUUGCACUUAAUCUUAUAAGCAUAAUCAUAUUUACUAAACCUUUAGUAAAUCAUGACGAAUAUCUUGUCACUCUUAUGGUGGAGUUUGAUCAACAAACAACUUUGUGUACUCGAUCUCCUAGUCCUUCACUUGACUCUUUGUCAAUGAAUUAGUCUAAUUUCCAAAUACGAAAUUUCUCAUUCAUCGUGCAUCCAUGUUGCAUGAUUCCAAGUUUCUGUCCAAUUGAAACUUGGGCGAUGAGAAACUCUCCCUAUUUGGUAAAUUCUCGACUUUCCAUAANNNNNNNNNNNNNNNNNNNNNNNNNNNNNNNNNNNNNNNNNNNNNNNNNNNNNNNNNNNNNNNNNNNNNNNNNNNNNNNNNNNNNNNNNNNNNNNNNNNNNNNNNNNNNNNNNNNNNNNNNNNNNNNNNNNNNNNNNNNNNNNNNNNNNNNNNNNNNNNNNNNNNNNNNNNNNNNNNNNNNNNNNNNNNNNNNNNNNNNNNNNNNNNNNNNNNNNNNNNNNNNNNNNNNNNNNNNNNNNNNNNNNNNNNNNNNNNNNNNNNNNNNNNNNNNNNNNNNNNNNNNNNNNNNNNNNNNNNNNNNNNNNNNNNNNNNNNNNNNNNNNNNNNNNNNNNNNNNNNNNNNNNNNNNNNNNNNNNNNNNNNNNNNNNNNNNNNNNNNNNNNNNNNNNNNNNNNNNNNNNNNNNNNNNNNNNNNNNNNNNNNNNNNNNNNNNNNNNNNNNNNNNNNNNNNNNNNNNNNNNNNNNNNNNNNNNNNNNNNNNNNNNNNNNNNNNNNNNNNNNNNNNNNNNNNNNNNNNNNNNNNNNNNNNNNNNNNNNNNNNNNNNNNNNNNNNNNNNNNNNNNNNNNNNNNNNNNNNNNNNNNNNNNNNNNNNNNNNNNNNNNNNNNNNNNNNNNNNNNNNNNNNNNNNNNNNNNNNNNNNNNNNNNNNNNNNNNNNNNNNNNNNNNNNNNNNNNNNNNNNNNNNNNNNNNNNNNNNNNNNNNNNNNNNNNNNNNNNNNNNNNNNNNNNNNNNNNNNNNNNNNNNNNNNNNNNNNNNNNNNNNNNNNNNNNNNNNNNNNNNNNNNNNNNNNNNNNNNNNNNNNNNNNNNNNNNNNNNNNNNNNNNNNNNNNNNNNNNNNNNNNNNNNNNNNNNNNNNNNNNNNNNNNNNNNNNNNNNNNNNNNNNNNNNNNNNNNNNNNNNNNNNNNNNNNNNNNNNNNNNNNNNNNNNNNNNNNNNNNNNNNNNNNNNNNNNNNNNNNNNNNNNNNNNNNNNNNNNNNNNNNNNNNNNNNNNNNNNNNNNNNNNNNNNNNNNNNNNNNNNNNNNNNNNNNNNNNNNNNNNNNNNNNNNNNNNNNNNNNNNNNNNNNNNNNNNNNNNNNNAGGCAUGGACUCGUCGAGUCUCCUGAUGGACUCGCCGAGUCUGAUGGCCAGACAGCACCAGAUUCGUUUUUUCAGCUUCUAUUGCAGGUAUAACAAGAAAACAAGCCUAGGCUCUGAUACCACUGUUGGGUUUUGAGCAUUCUAACACUCCUAAGUGUACAUGCAACCCUAAAUACCUUGGAUCUAUGUUUUCUCUAUUAUACAUGCAAAUAAGAACUUCCAAGGUAUUAUCCUAAUCUAGCAUACAAAACAAUGACUAUAGCAAGAUAGAAUACAUACCUCUUUGGUGUAGAAAAUCUUCAUGAAGCUUGAGUGCCUAGUGCCCCAAGUGUGACACCUCAAAUGGAAUCACAAUCAUCAAAACACUUAGAAUAACUUGAGAGAAUUCUACAACUCAUGAANGAUUUUUCCUCAAUAAUAAGAUGCUUAUAUAGUUUCACAAUUAGGGUAAACUCUUAAUUGUCAUGGCUUUCCAUUUCCUUGGAUCCAUGGGUUCAAAUACACCAUAGAGAAUCCAUGAACCACCCUAUGGGUUUUAGCCCAACUUGAUUAUCCAUGGAGCAUUAGCCCACUAUACAAGUAUGGAUGAUUUACACAAUCAACCCAUAUAUUUAAUUAGUCUUCUUUUGAUCAAUUAAUUAAUCCUAGAUUAAUUCUUGAUCAAUACUAAUUAAAUAAUCUUAUUAUUCUUAUUAUUAAUAUACUAGAACUUAUAAUAUAUUAAUAACCAUAAGUGUCUUAUUUCUCUCAUUUAGUCUAUCCAAGUGCAUGAUGGUAUGCAACCCAAAUGGACCGUGUCGGGUCGGGUCAAAUCUUACCAAUUAUAGUUAUGGACUUAGACAUUAAUCCAACAGUAUGUCCAUUAGCUCACUCAAGCUCUUCAAGAAUUGUUAAAACUCAGAAGGAGUAUAAUCAAAUCCUCAAUGAUGUGAAAGACAUACCCCAAGAUGAGAAGGAAAAGUUUCAUUGCAACAUCAAAGCUUUAAGGAUGAUAAGGUUCGCCUUACAAUCAAACAUGGUUCGGUUGGUAAGCUCAUGCACAACAGCGAAAGAAAUUUGGGACAGGUUGAAGGAACCGUACUCUACGGAUGAAGAUCUUGAGCAUUCAAUCCAAACAUUAUUGCUCUCAGAAUUUGGUGACUUCAAGCAGAAGCUCGAAGAGAAGCUUAUUCAAGCCUUCGAUCAUUUUAAUCAUCUCCUUAGUAAGAUGAUAAAGCAUGGGAUUGAAAGGAAAGUCACUGAACAGAAGGUUACAUUUAUGAAUGGCCUUAGACCCAAAUGGAUGGUUGUGGUGUAUACUGUGAAGGCACAUGAACAAUUAAAGGCUUAGUCUCUAGAAAAACUAGUGGGAAUAGUAAAGUCACAUGAGAGUGCAGUGACUAAAGAAACUAAUGUGGUUUCUAGCAUGGGGUCCUUGGCCCUAAUCUCAAAAGGAAAGAAUGUUGUUGAAGAAGAAGACGAUUUAGAUCUUGCUGAAUAUGAUCUAACAAGUAAAGAUUAUGCUUUGAUGGUGUCAAAUCCCAAGAAGUUCAUGAGAAGAAGGUUCCCAGCUAAUAAGAACCGAAACUGGCAGGGAAGCUCAUUGCCGAGAAAGCGAAGGAGGAACCGAAGAAUGAUUCUCAGACCGAAGAACCAAAGAAGGAAUUAAAACUUGGUAGUGACUCAGGUUUUCUAUUUUCACUACUGUGGAGGCAAAAAUCACUUUGCCAAAGAUUUCAUGUUGAGAAAGAUGUGAGAGAAGAAUGUCGAUGAUGAUGAGGAAGCGAAUCUUAUAUGACGAAUGGAGGAAAUCAAGAACAAGAAAGUGAUGGGUUUUGGUCAUAAGACAUCCUAUGUGCUCAUACAAACCCUAAAGCUCGGAUCUAGGUUUCUCUAUUGUACAUACUUUGAAUCCAAGACUUUGAACCCUAACACUAGCAUAUGGAAAUCAGAAUUCACAUGUAAAUAGGUUUAAGAACAUACCUUGAUUGUUAUAUAGCAAUAACAAUCCAAUUCCUCCUUGAAUUGACCUUGGAAAGCUGAGAGUCACAAGUGUCACUCCUCUAAUGGCUUACAAACACCAUAAGCAAGUGGAGAAGGUAUAAAGAGAGAGGAGGGAGGUUAGAAUUCGUCCUUAGGACCUCUUGGGAUCAAGCACACGAAUUCUUAAGCCUUGGGGUCUUUAUAUAGGUGUAGAGAUAGGGUUUCAGUCAUUAUCCUUAUCUAAUUGCUUAUCCACCAAGCAACCAAUAAGAUAAUCCUUGAAUCCUUAUCAUACUCGAAUUCUAAGGGAUUUACACCUCAAAUUCGUUCACCAUAUAUAUAAGAUAAUCCUUACCUUAUUUUGUAACUAUCACAUAAUUACAAUUCAGCCCCUCUAGUUUAAUUAACUACACUUGAUCACAAAAUUAAUUCUUAAUUAAUUAUUGACCAAUAUUAAUUAAACAAAUAUGAUUUCUCCUUUAAUAUAUUAUUCUUAUAAUAUAUUAAUAAAUCAUAAUAACCUCUCUCUCUUUAUUUAUUUCUCCAAUCAAGUUGCUUUGGUGAAGGCAACCCAAAAGGACCAUGCACCAUCGGGUCAAGUACAUACCAAAAUAGUUAUGGACUUAGACACUAAUCCAACAGAAAGUUGGGUCUAAAAGCACUAUGAAUGCUCUUAUUGUGCAGGGAAAUAUAGUUGACGAUGAGUUCAGCGGUGUUGAAGUUUGGUCCACAGAUUCUGAAGAUGAAGAAGUGAGGAAACCCACUCAUGGUAGGGCUUUGUUGGUGAAAGAAGAAGAUGAUGUAGGAAAGUGUCUAAUGGUGACCUUUGCGGUGUCAAAAGUGAGAGGCUAUUCCACUGAUGGGGGACUAGACGAAGCGAAAGAGCGAUAAGACAAGUGUUUUGCAGCGAAACCUGUUAGUGAGUAGAUCAACGAAUGCGAUGAGUUGAUCAAGAAGGUACAAUGUAUUCUUGUUUCUUUACAAAUCCACAUCACAAACAAUGAAAAAUAACUAAAUGGAUUAAAAUCUAAAUUUUCUAGUAUAAGUGGGAGUUUAACUCAAACUCGCGUCCUAAACUCUAACCUAACUGAUCAAAUCAGCAGGGUAUCAUCGAAGAGUGAGGAGAGGCAUAUCUGGAUUGAGCAGAAGGAGAAGGAGUUGAUUAGGUCUAGGGAUGAAACAAUUUAUUUGAAAAGAGAUAAUUUAAAGCUUUUCAAAUAACGGAAUGUUUUUUGUUUGAUUUGUUAAACGAUUAUAUCCCAACAUUACUCAAUUGCAUCUUGAUUGUGAAAUAGGGAAGAAGAUAAAUCAUAUGAUUUUACCCUUCCUUGAGUUAAAGGAGGAUGAAAUCGAUGUCGAUGCAUAUAACUGUGAAAACGUUGUUUCUUCUUAUGAUAUUUCUCCCGCUUACAAAAUUGUUCUUGACAAAAUAGAGUCCUUCAUAAAGUCAAAAGACCAAAAGGACAUCCUCAAAAAUUUGGUGGAUGAAAAUGACAAAUUAAAAAUCAAAACCGAAACUAUACAGAAAUUUGACUCUUUGAAUGCGAAGUAAGAAAAUAAAAUUGAUAUUGAAAACACUUCUGAAUUCAAUGAGGAUGAUGAUACGAAUGAAAUAUCUGUAGAAGAUGAGGUGUAUUGUUCCGAAUUUGUCAAGAGCAAACCCAAAACCAACAAAAUUCUUAUUUCCGAAAAUUCUGUUGAGUUCGCUCGUUUGUCCAAAGACAAGACCAAAGUACUCAAGGAAAAGGUUGUUGUAUAUCAAAAGGUCCAAACAACUCCAAAUCAAGUUUAUACAGUUAAAGGAGUUACUCAGCAACAGACACCCGAACUGACAACAUUAGUAGAAGAAGAUAAUGUUGAUGGUUGUGAUGAGUUUUUCUGGUCCGCAACGAUUGAUAACGCUGAUGAAACAGUAGGUCUAUCUAAGAAAACAUCAUAGAGGGUUAAAGGUAGGUGUGUGGCAGAACCACUUAAUAAACCUACACACUUUGAUGUGCCAAGCACAAGUGGUACCAAAAUUCCUUCAACCGAACCGGUCAUGGUGUCAAGCGAAACAUCUUCACUAAAGAGCAAAACUCAUGCUCAAAGACUGAAGCAAAAGGGAAAAAUCCACAAAACUCCAAAACAGUUGUUAGAAAGAAAGCAUCAACGUAAUUUUAGAUACAAGUAGAAUCUCACUGAAAGGAAAUAGUUUUGGCGAUCUCAAAAUCCUAAUUACGUUCGUUAUGAAAAGACCAAUAAGUCAAAUGAAGAAGCAAAAGCAAACUCAACUUCUCAUAAUGAAAACAACCGAAACAAGAGUUUCGGUCCCCAAGAUCAAAACAACCGAAAACUAAGUUUCGUUCCACAAAAGAAUAGCAACCAAAAGAGGAGUUUUGGUCCUCAGACGGAUGACAACCGAAAAAGAAGUUUCAGUCCUCAAAGUGAGAGAAACCGAAAGGAUGCUUUCGGUCUUAGACCAACCUAUGAGAAGAACCGAAGGGAAGGUAGUUUUGACUCUCAACCAAGUAAGAGAAAUGACCAAAAGCUUAAUUCUACUCCCAAGUCCCAUCUUUCUCAUUUUCACUCUCACUCACAGAAUGAUCGAAAGGGAAAAGGAAAGCUCUUUUUCCAGAAAACUAAAAGAAGACGACAUUUAAACCCAAAGUAGAGAACUGAAAGUUUGCUAACGUCAAAUUCACAAAUCCAAAAACUAAACCUAAAGUACUCAAAUCUAAAGAAAAUCAAAAUUUUCACCAAAAAAGAACAGAUGAAACAACAUUAAUAAAAAGAACCUUUUUAGUUGAUGUUUCUCUUACAAUUCCCUGUUCUGUAAAAGGCUCACAAGGACCCAAGAAACUUUGGGUUCCUAAAUCUGCUUAAUUUUUGCAGGUUAUGCGUGACGAGAAGUUCGACGAUAAAUGGUACAUAGACAGUGGCUGCUUACGUCACAUGACAGGAAGAAGGGAAGAGCUAAGGGAGUUUCGGUCCCUUAAAGAUGGUGGAAGUGUCAAGAAUGGUAAUAAUUCUUUUGGCACGAUCAAAGGUUAUGGUAUGAUCCCCAAUGGUGAUUUCAUGAUACGAAAGGUGGCGUACGUUGAAGUCUUACAACACAACCUUAUCAGUGUUUCUCAACUGGUGGUUGGUAUCGGGUUAAAAGUUUUGUUCGAUGACGAUGGCUCAGAGAUUAUUAAAAAGAAAAUGAACAAUAUUCUGCUGAAAUCAAAGCGAAAAGGAGAUAUGUACCCUCUGAAUCUCAAUCCCAUACGGGGGAAACCAACUAUUUUCUUGCUAUUGAAAGCUCACUCAAAUGAAAGUUGGCUUUGGCACCGAAGACUCUCCCAUCUCAAUUUUAAAGACAUCAUCAAGCUAGUGCUUGGGGAUCAUGUUCGAGGUCUUCCUAUUCUGAAGUUCGACAAAGAACACUUGUGUGCUGCGUGUGAAAUGGGAAAACAAAGUCAACAGAGUCAUCCUUCUCGAGUCAAUACAAAAUUUAUUGAACCACUAGAAUUACUUCACAUUGAUCUAUGUGGUCCAUCUUCAAUCGACAGCAUUGGUGGUAAAAAGUAUAUACUUGUAAUAGUGGAUGACUUCUCUCAGUUUACCUGGGUGUUCUUUUUGAGGCAGAAAUCAGAGGCCACUCCCAAGCUUAAACUCUUUAUCAAGCAGAUAGAAGUUCAACUACGAAAGGUAGUUCGAAACAUAAGAAGCGACAACGGGUUGGAGUUCAAGAACAAAGACUUUGAAGAUUUUCUUGCAGAGAAGGGGACCAUUCAGAACUUCUCGGCUCCAUAUACUCCACAACUGAAUGUAAUUGUCGAAAGGCGAAACUAAUCUUUGUGUGAAGCAGCCCGAACCACGCUUACCCUCGCUUCUCUACCUCUAUAAUUCUGGGUUGAUGCCAUUGCUGCCGCUUGCUACAUACAGAACAAAUCUUAUCUCAACAAACGUUUCUCCAUCACUCCUUAUGAGAUCAUAAACAACCGAAAGCCUAAUAUAAAGUUUUUCCAUGUGUUCGGUUCAAGAUGUUUUAUCUUCGAUUCAAAGAAGCACCGAAACAAUUUUGAUGUCAAAGCAGACGAAGGAAUCUUUAUGGGUUAUUCCUUAAACUCCGAAGCAUAUAGGGUUCUGAACAAGCGUUCAAAAAAAAUUGAAGAGACCUAUUAUGUCACCUUCAAUGAUAACUACGUCAAGAAACUGAAGACAACCGAAGGUUCUGUGGAAGAAAUAUUUCCAAAAUCUGGUCAUGUUACGGUACCAAUUUCAAACCUAUUUGAGCAAUACAUGCUGCUAUUUGAUGAACCAGAAAAGGCUAUUCACUAUGAAUCAAAAGUUGCAGACAACAAGGUAGACAACUUGAGGAAGAUAAUCGAUGAUGUUGCAGAGAAAAUGGUAGAAGAACAACCGAUAACAACCAAACAGCCUGACACAAGCGAACCUCCAAAAGAUAGUUCUUAUAUUCAGGGGUAGGGUCGUCUUUUCUAGAUAACCAAGAUUCACCAUUCCAAGAGGAGAUCCCUGUUGGAUUAAUGUCUAUGUCCAUGACUAUAAUUGGUAAGACUUUACCCGAACUGGCAUGGUCCAUUUGGGUUGCAUGGCAUCAUGCAUUUGGAUAGACUAUAAUGAGAGAAAUAACAGUUAAGGUUUGUUAAUAUAUUAUAAUUUGUAAUAUAUUAAUAAGAUUAUUUAGUUAGUAUUGAUCAAGAAUUAAUCUAGGAUUAAUUAAGUGAUCAAAAGAAGACUAAUUAAAUAUAUGGGUUGAUUGUGUAAAUCCUCCAUACUUGUAUAGUGGGCUAGUGCUUCAUGGAUUGUCAAGUUGGGCUAAAACCCAUAAAAUGCUCCAUGAAUGCUCCAUGGUAUAUUUGAACCCAUGGAUCCAAGGAAAUGGAAAGCCAUGACAAUUAGGGUUUACCCUAAUUGUCAAUAACUAUAUAAGCAUCUUAUUGUUGACAAAAUCGGAACUAGAUUAUAUGUGAAAGGGCUAGCCGAUUUUUAUGAAGUGUGGAUUUCUCUUUAAUCUAUUCCAAGUGUAUUUGGUGUUGUGUGAACCAUUUGAGGUGUCACACUUGGGGCACUAGGCACUCAAGCUUCAUGAAGACAUUCUACAUCAAAGAGGUAUGUAAUUCUAACUUGAUAUAUUCAUAUGAAUCAAUGUUAUUAUGCUAGUUAGGAUGAAUACCUUGGAAAGUUCAUAUUUGCAUGUAUAAUAGAGAAAAUAUAGAUCUAAGGUAUUCCGGGUUGCAUGUAGACUUAGGAGUGUUAGAAUGCUCAAAACCCAACAGUGGUAUCAGAGCCUAGGCUUGUUUUCAAUUAUACUUGAUGAAAAAUGCUGAAAAAAUCAAUUUUCUGGCUUUCUGGGAACUGGACUCAUCGAGUCCACUGAUGAACUCCCUGAGUCCAUGGAGAGAAUCAUCCUACUCGAUGAGUAGGUUGAUACACUCAACGAGGAGGAGCCCCAGACAACAUAUUUUUGAGUUUUUUGGCUAGAAAUGGACUAGGAACAUUACGCUAAGCUGUUUUUGGACUUAUAAACUUGUUUUUGAUGUGGUAAUGUUCAUGCUAAUCCAAUUUCAAAGAUAAUUAUCAAUAGAUUCAUGUUUUUUAUUAGUUUAAAAGUUAUGCUAAUUACAUGAAAAAGUUUGAUGUGUAUUAUCUUUUUUCAUAUGAGUUGCUUAGAUUAAUAGAUAAGUUAAUUGAUUAUGUGUUUUCAAUCGAUUUUAAUCUAAGAGAUGAUUCUAAAAUGUGUUUGUGUAACUUGUCCUGAAGUUACAUGAAAGGUCACAUUCAAGUUUCUUAAAACUCAUAAAAGAUGGUAAAGGUUACAAAAUGAAGAGUUUUGUUCUCAUUAAAUGGUUUUAUGACUCCAUAACUUGUCCUUAAGUUAUGGAGAUUCAAGAGUCACUUCAUUAAGUAAUAAAAUCUAUAACCUUAAUUAUUAAUAACUAAUAAAACGUUACAAUGUAAUAAAAUAUAUGUUGUACCAUAUGAUUUUUGCUUUGAAAAUUUUGUACAAUACAUUUUCAAUUCCUUUGAAAGUGAGACUUAACAUUGAAAACACAAUUUUGUAACCUUGUGAAUUAACAUAAAAUAUCACAUCAGAUGUCACUAAGAUAAUAUGAUGUUUGUUUAAAAAAACCCUACACCUACCAAUUAAUUAAAAUCACUAUGAUAUCAUUUAUUUAAAAACAUAUAAACUAAUUCAUAAAAUAUAAAUUAGUUCAAAAAAUAUANUAUGAAAUAAUAAUUUUUAUAAAAGAUAAGAUGAAAUAUAUUAAAUUUUUUAAAUAUAUGAUAAUAUAUAUGAUGGUGGGGUGAGUACACUGACAAAAUUGGGUUGGUUUUUUAUAUUUAAAUAUUCAGUUUUAAUUUUUAGAUAAUAAAAUGAAUAAAAAUAAAAUAAAAAUAUAUUAUAAAUUGUUAAAUUGACUUUUUAUACGAGCAAAUAACCAAAACCUUAAUGUUUAAAGUGAAAAUUACUAAUAUACCCAAAUUUGGUAAUAACUUAAUAGAAAAUAGCCAUAAAAAAACAAAAUUAUUUACAAUAGUCAUCAAUUUUAUAGAUAGAUUAGAACCAUCUAUGAAAUUAUUAUUUCAUCUGUGAAAGCACAAAUAGUUUAUCUACAUUUAUGUUGGUUGUAUGUCUAAUUUUCCAUGUAUGAAGGUACCAUGAUUUUGGUGUAAAUACAUUUUUUUAAAAUCAUUUAUUUUUCUUGUUUUUUAGUUGGGAAAAUUCUCUAGGAAGCUACAUAAAAGCUAAACGAGAAUUCCAAAGAUAUAAGUGGUAAGACAAGAUUUUUUUGCAAAUUUUAAUAUAAAAUCUUAUAAUUUGUAUAAAUUCAUAGUUAUAACUGUCAGAUUUUGUUAUCAACCUUAAGGAAUUCAUAGUUAAAACUAACUAUUUGCAAAAAAAAAAAUUACUGACAAAUCGUUGAUGGAAUGAGAGCCUUUCUUAGAUGGACUGCACUCCACCUAUGAAAUAUGGAUAAAAUUAUUGUAUUUAUACUUCAAAAAAGUGAAACUGAAAAUGGUUAUUAGUCAAAUUAUAGAUGGAAUAAUGAUAUCAUAGAUGGUUUUUCCAUCUGCGAAUGCACAAGUAUCCAAAACAUAAACUGUUUGUAACUUUGCAGAUGGAAUAAUGAAUUCUUAGAUACUCCUAAUCCAUGCAUGAAAUUGAAUGCUACUGUGUGUAUACUUUCUUGCUAUUUUUUACAAAGUAAUUAGCAAAUUUGGCUAUAUUUGUAAUUUUCACCUUGUUAAAACCACAAAGCGUGAUUUGACAAUUUUCAAAUGUUAGACUAACUUACGCCUUUUCUUCAAAAUACAUGCAUGAUUUAUGUAAUUUUCUCUUUAAAAUGGAUUUAACUGUGAAUUGUAGUAAAUUUUUUAUUAUAAUAACAGAAGCAAACAUUAUUUUUGUUAGCAGAAAUCCAUAUUAAUGAAUAAUAAAACGUUACAAUGUAAUAAAAUAAAUGUGGUACCAUAUGAUUUUUGCUUUGAUAAAGUUGUACAAAUACAUCUUCGAUUCUUUUGAAAGUGAGUAAGGGUAAAUGGUAAGUUCACAUAGAAAAACACAAUUUUUUUAGGAUUGUGCAUUAACAUAGAAUAUCAUGUCAAAUGUCAAAUGUCAACAAGAUAAUGAGAUUUUUGUUUAGAAAAAUUAUACACCGACCACUUUAUUAAAAUUACUAUCACAUCAUUUAUUACAUCAUUAUUUAAAAACAUAUAAACUAAUUCAUAAAAUAUAAAAUUAGUCAAAAUAAAAAUAUAGUAAUUAUAUUUGUAGUAAUUUAUUUUUUAUGAUUUUGAAAGUAAUUCAAAACAUUAUAUAUAUAUAUAUAUAUANAUGAAACAAUAGUUUUUAUAAUAUAUUUGAUGAAAUAUAUUAAUUUUUUUAAGUAUAUGAUACUAUAUAUAAUGGUAGGGUGGGUACAGUGAUAGAAGUGGGUUGGUUUUUCAUAUUAAAAUAGUCGCUUUUAAUUUUUUUGAAAACAAACAAAAUAAGAUUAAAGUAAAAAUAUAUCAGAAAUUGUUAAAUUGUCUUUUUAUACAAGCGAAUAACAAAAACUUUGUUAUUUAAUGAGAAAAUUACUAAUAUAGCCAAAUUUGGUAAUUGCUUUGUAAAAAAUAGCCACAAAAAAUUUACUCACAAUAGCCAUCAAUUUCAUAGAUGGAUUAGAACCAUCUAUGAGGUCAUUAUUCCAUCUAAGAAAGCAUAAACAACUCAUGUAAGUUUAUGUUCUGGAGAGUUGUAUUUUUAAAUUUUCCAUCAAUGAAGGUACCACAUCUUAGGUAUAAAUACGUUUUUCUUAAAUCACUCAUCUUUUUAGUCUUUUAGUUGGGAAAUUUCUUUGAGGAAGUUACAUAUAAGUUAAAGAAGAAUUCGAAAGAUAUAAGUCGUAAGCUAAGAUUAUUUUGCAAAUUUUUAUAUAAAAUCUAAUAAUUCGUACAAAUUCAUAGUUAUAAUUGACAAAUUUUGUUGUCAACCUUAAGAAAUUCAUAGUUAAAGCUAACUAUUUACAAAGAAGCUACUAACAAAUCGUUGAUGCAAUUAGAGAAUUUCAUACAUGGACUGCAAUCCAUCUAUGAAAUAUGCACAAAGUUAUGGUAUUUAUACUUCAAAAAACAGAAACCAAAAGUGGUUAUUGGUCAAAUCACAGAUGGAAUAAUGAUUUCAUAGAUGAUUUUUCCAUCUGCGAAUGCACAAGUCCCCGAAUCAUAAACAUGUAUAAACUGUUUGCACAUUCGUAGAUGGAAUAAUGAUUUCUUAGAUGGUCCUAAUCCAUCUACUAAAUUGAGGGCUAUUGUAUGUAUUUUUUUUCUUUUUUCUACAAAGUGAUUAGCAAAUUUGGCUAUAUUAGUAAUUUUCUCCUUUUUAAAACUACACAACAUGAUUUUACAAUUUUCAAAUGUUUGACUAACUUACGCUUUUUCUCCAAAUUACAUGGACGAUUGAUGUCAUUUUAUCUAUAAAAAGAAUUGAGCUGUGAAUUGUCGUAAUUUUUGUAUUAUAAUAACCGAAGCGAACAUUAUUUCACUCAGCGAAACUCCACAUUAAUUAUAAAUAACACGUUCCCAUGUAGUAAACAAAAUGUGGUACCAUAUGAUUUUUGCUUUCAAAAAAGUUGUACGAAUACAUCUUCAAUUCAUUUGAAAGAGAGCAAGGGUAAACGGUAACUUCACAUAGAAAAACACGGUUUUGUAAAGCAUGUGCAUUAACAUAGAAUAUCACGUUAAAUGUCAACAAAAAAAUGUGACUUUUGUUUAGAAAACUUAUACACCGACCACUUUAUUAAAAUUACUAUCACAUAAUUUAUUACAUCAUUAUUUAAAAACAUAUAAACUAAUUCAUAAAAUAUAAAAUUAGUCAAAAUAAAAAUAUUAUAAUUAUAUUUGCAGUAAUUUAUUUUUUAUGCUUUUGAAAGUAAUUAUAAACAUUUUAUAUAUAUAUAUAUAUNNNNNNNNNNNNNNNNNNNNNNNNNNNNNNNNNNNNNNNNNNNNNNNNNNNNNNNNNNNNNNNNNNNNNNNNNNNNNNNNNNNNNNNNNNNNNNNNNNNNNNNNNNNNNNNNNNNNNNNNNNNNNNNNNNNNNNNNNNNNNNNNNNNNNNNNNNNNNNNNNNNNNNUAUUAUUAACUAUGAAACAAUAGUUUUUAUAAUAUAUUUGGUGAAAUAUAUUAAUUUUUUUAAGUAUAUGAUACUAUAUAUAACGUUAGGGUGGGUACAGUGAUAGAAGUGGGUUGGUUUUUCAUAUUAAAAUAGUCGAUUUUAUUUUUUUUGAAAACAAAAAGAAUAAGAUUAAAGUAAAAAUAUAUUAGAAAUUGUUAAAUUGUCUUUUUAUACAAGCGAAUAACCAAAACCUUGUUAUUUAAUGAGAAAAUUACUAAUAUAACCAAAUUUGGUAAUUGCUUUGUAAAAAAUAGCCACAAAAAAUUUACUCACAAUAGCCAUCGAUGUCAUAGAUGGAUUAGAACCAUCUAUGAGGUCAUUAUUCCAUCUAAGAAAGCAUAAACAGCUCAUGUACGUUUAUGUUUUGGAGAGUUGUAUUUUUAAAUUUUCCAUUAAUGAAGGUACCACAUUUUAGGUAUAAAUACAUUUUUUUUAAAUCACUCAUCUUUUUAGUCUUUUAGUUGGGAAAUUUCUUUGAGGAAGUUACAUAUAAGUUAAAGAAGAAUUCCAAAGAUAUAAGUGGUAAGCUAAGAUUUUUUUGCAAAUUUUUAUAUAAAAUCUAAUAAUUCGUACAAAUUCAUAGUUAUAAUUGUCAAAUUUUGUUGUCAACCUUAAGAAAUUCAUAGUUAAAGCUAACUGUUUCCAAAAAAAAGCUACUAACAAAACAUUGAUGCAAUGAGAGAAUUUCAUAUGUGGACUGCAAUCCAUCUAUGAAAUAUGCACAAAGUUAUGGUAUUUAUACUUCAAAAAACAGAAACCGAAAGUGGUUAUUGGUCAAAUCACAGAUGGAAUAAUUAUUUCAUAGAUGAUUUUUCGAUCUGCGAAUGCACAAGUCUCCGAAUCAUAAACAUGUAUAAACUGUUUGCGUAUUCGUAGAUGGAAUAAUGAUUUCUUUGAUGGUCCUAAUCCAUCUACUAAAUUGAGGGCUAUUGUAUGUAUUUUUUUUUCUUUUUUUUACAAAGUGAUUAGCAAAUUUGGCUAUAUUAGUAAUUUUCUCCUUUUUAAAACCACAAAACAUGAUUUUACAAUUUUCAAAUCUUUGACUAACUUAUGCUUUUUCUCCAAAUUACAUGGACGAUUGACGUAAUUUUGUCUAUAAAAAGAAUUGAGUUGUGAGUUGUCGUAAUUUUUGUAUUAUAAUAACCGAAGCGAACAUUAUUUCACUCAGCGGAACUCUACAUUAAUUAUAAAUAACACGUUCCCAUGUAAUAAACAAAACGUGGUACCAUAUGAUUUUUGCUUUCAAAAAAGUUGUACGAAUACAUCUUCAAUUCAUUUGAAAGAGAGCAAGGGUAAAUGGUAACUUCACAUAGAAAAACACGGUUUUGUAAAGCUUGUGCGUUAACAUAGAAUAUCACGUCAAAUGUCAACAAGAGAAUGUGAUUUUUGUUUAGAAAACUUAUACACCGACCACUUUAUUAAAGUCACUAUCACAUCAUUUAUUAUAUCAUUUAUUAUGUUUUCUCUUAUUUACAAAGAUAAUGUGAUUUUUGUUUAGGAAAAUUAUACAAAUACCCACUUUAUUAAAAUCACUAUCACAUCAUAUGUUAUAUUAUUUAUAUAAAAACAUAUAAACUUAUUCAUAAAAUAUAAAAUUAGUUCAACAAAAUAUACCAAUUAUAUUUGUAGUAAACUUGUAUGCUUUUGAUUGUAAUUAAACGAANNNNNNNNNNNNNNNNNNNNNNNNNNNNNNNNNNNNNNNNNNNNNNNNNNNNNNNNNNNNNNNNNNNNNNNNNNNNNNNNNNNNNNNNNNNNNNNNNNNNNNNUAUAUAUAUAUAUAUAUACAUUAAAAAGAAACAAUCAUUUUUGUAAAAACACCCACACAAAUCACAAAAAAAUUUAGUGAGAAUAUGAAUAUAAAAGAGUAAUAGAUCAACAAGGUUGAAGAUUUUUUAAGAGUUCAUUUCUAAAAUAAAACGUUGAACGGUGAAAUAUAUUGUGGAGAACUCAAAGCGGGUAUCAUAAUCAAGGUUUUGGAAUAAUAAAAAAUUAUAUGGUGUUAUUUUCUCAUUUUUUAAAUUUAUAUUCAUAUGUUAUUCUUUCUAUUUUCUUUUUAUUUCAAGAAAAUGUUUAUCGUUGUAUGCUUUUAGUUUGUAGUGACUUAUACGAUUGUUUGAUUGAGUUUCAUCGUUAAGUAUGCAACUAAUAUAAUUACAAAAGAAUAAUUAUAUUACUAACGAAUAUAUAUGAGUUAAAAAUAUGACAACAUGACAAGAUAUCAAAUCUAUAUAUCUAUUAUAAUGAAGAUCAUUUUCCUUACAACAUAUUCAUUCAGAACUCUCGUUACAACUUAAAAAUAUUUUUAACUAACAAUUAAUUAGUAACUACAACUCAAUAGUUUUAUAACUUAUGUGUGUAUAUAUGAUUAGUUAUGUGUAAUUACGAUUCAAAUUUAAAAUAACUUAUGACUACAAGCGAAAAGAUGUUUUAAGUUAUGAUUAGAAAGUGAUAAUUAUUAUAUUUAUGUGGUAAAUAUAACGAUAUAAAUAGUUCAGACAUGCAUAUGAUAUUUCUUGAGUUUGUUGCAUAAGAUGGAGAAAAAAUACGAUUUAAGAAUACUCAAAAGUCUACAUUGUGGUGCAUGUAUUCAUAUUGAACCAGGAAGCGAAAAAUACAAAUUUAUAUAAGUAAAAUAUACAAAUUUUCUUUAUAUUGUUUGAAAAUAACAUGAAAUAAACUUUAUUGUAAUUUUUUUCUAUUCUGCCGACUGGAACCCCCUAUAUUGUAUAUUUCUACACCAAGUGAUAUUUUUUAAUAAUGAUCCNUUUUAUAUAUAUAUAUAUAUAUAUAUAUAUAUAUAUAUAUAUAUAUAUAAUUCCAAAUGUCAAAUGUGAAUAUCGUAUUAUUUUGGAUCAUUAAAUAUGUUUUAUUUUCACUGUAGUAUCUUAUAGAUAUUAUUAAGUGUAUUGUUGAUACUGGUUAUGUGAUCGUGUUAAACAUGAAAUUAUGUUUUUCUAUACGAGUAUUGUGAUAAAAAUAUUAUUACUGUUAGAUGAUAUGCAUUGUGGUUAUUAAGUUAUAAGUAGUUUCGUAUUAAAAUUAUAUCCAAAAUUUAUAGGUUCGUAUAUAAUAUAUAAUUUUUUUAAUCAUAUUAUUUUAUUCAUACGCAACGUGCUGGUAUACGCCUACUAUGUGUGUGUUUGCGUGUGUCUAUAUAUAUAUAUAUAUAUAUUAUAGAAGAAAUAUUUUUCUUUUCACCACAUCAAUUUGAAAAUCUCAUGACUAAUCAAUUUCUUUAAAAUAAUGAAUAUAAAUUAGUUAAUAAUAUUGAAUAAAUGAAAAACCUAAAUUGUAAUCCUAAAUUAUGUAAAAUAUAAUAUUUAAAUAACAUCUUCUACUAUUAUAUAAAAUUAUUCUUGAGUUUUUAACAUAGUAUAUACUUAAUUUUGUUUGAAAGGUUAACAUCUUUUACUAUUAUAUAAAAUGCUUAAGUUGUUAAUUUAGUUAUUACUUUAAAAGGUUAACAUAAAUCGAAAUUUCAAUUAAACUUAAAAGAAAAUCCAUAUAUUAUUUUGUAAAUAAUUUAAAAUUAUAAAUUAUAGUGUUAAAAGCAAGACCUAAAUUGUAAUUUUCAAUUGACUAGAAAAUUUUAUAGAAUUAUUUAUAUAAUCAUUAUGAAUUUCCAAAUAAAUAGCUAAACCUAAUUUACAACAACAAUAAUUAAAAGUAACACUACAUAAAAAAAAUUAUAGUGUUUUUAAAACAAAAAAUAGUGUUUGAUAUUUUAAGUAAUCAUAAUAAUAGAAUUUGAAAUGUUAUGCAAUUAAUUUUUUAACAGGGUAACUAAUAAUAACAUAAAAUAUAAAUAACAUAAAACGUAUAUUAUUUUAUGUUACUUAUAUGUAACUUAUGCGUAGAGGUUAUUGAGACGAUUGAGAUUAUAUAGUUUUAAUAGAUGUCUAUUUUAUUAUAUAACUCAAAAUAAUUAAUGUUUUACUUAACUUAGUAUAACAAUUAUUAUAUCAAAGUUAACAUUAACUUCAUUGUUAUAUAUAAAAAAUAUAUAUAUUUAUUGAUAUUUCAACUAUAUAGUUGUAUUUUGCGUAACGCGUGAGUAUUUGUCUAAGCAUACUAUGUCACACCACAAAACCGAGAACAACGGAAUACGUUCUGGUGUGGAGGACGUCAUGUAUAGUAUCAUUACAAUUGCAUAAUAGCAAAAACGAGAAACAACAACCAUUUCAUUUAUAUAGUGAUCAUAAUUACAAAUGUGUUCUGUAAAGUUUAAUAGACACCAAAAGUAUAACAAAAUAAAAGAUGGGUCUUGUAUGUGCUCCAUCUUCUGCAAAAGCUACACCAGUACCUGUCUAUCUUUGACCUGAGGAUACAAGUUAUUUUGAAAACGAGUAUCAGCAUAAAGCUGGUGAGUUCAUAAGAUUUUAGUGUCGUUGUUUGUGUAAAAGAUUUUGACGAACAUGUAAUAUAGAAACUGAAACUUAUGUUUAUGAGUAGUAGAAUUCCCUAGAAAAUCCUAUAUUUUCCAGAAAUGUGCAUUUGUAAGUAAAAUCCUUUGAGUGUGUAAAAGUAUUAUCUUUGAAACCUUCAGUUGUAAAAGUAUAGUAAUAAAUCUCAUAUGAGUAACAUAGCUGAAGAAAUGUUAUGCCUGCCAACAACAGUAGUGGUGUAACUUUAGUUAGCAAUAGAUCUUUAAUUUCUUUGGGAUAUUAGCUUAGACUUUAAGUCUUAGUGUAUUUAUUUGGAUAUAAGUGUAACCCCUCAUGUGACCAAGUGUAUGAUAGUAGAGUGUCCGAUGACCUUCCCGGUCAUCCGUAGUGAGGUGAUGUAGUGCCAUCCCUGGGCCUAGUCGGCUCGGACUAUAGUUAACAGUCGGGAUGUAAUAGUGUCAGUUCCGUAUAGAUCUAUACAUAUAGUGUUGCCUUCCUUCCGGGAAGCCCUGGUCACAUGGUGUAAGCGCGAUAGAGUACCUUAUCGAGGGAUAGUGUGUUUUACUUUGUAUUAGUGUAUUCUCUUAUGGUUUAGUAUGGUAGACUUUUAGUAUAGUAGGUAGAGUGUUCUCUUAUACUUGUAUUAACUUGUAAUAUUGACAGUUGUAGUGUGUAUAGUAGUAGUAGAGGUAACAAGCAGUAGCCUUAACUAUACCUAUUAUAAUUAACUAGAGUGUGUGAAUUCCUGCCUUUGAUCAGCAAAGGUAUUGAAUAAGAUGAAAACUUUCAUAUCUAACACGAAUAUAUAUGAUAUAUAACUAAGAAAUCAAUGACAGUCAGACGGACAACCAAUACCCUAAGACCACAUCAAACAAGAAUAGGAAGUAAGGCGAGCUAUCGGUCCUAAGUCCUUCAAGUCUUACUUAUAUAAAUAUAUUAAUGUAGAUAUAUUAUAAAAGAAAAGUAGUUUAAACAUAGUUUUGAAAAUAGCUUAAAAACGCAUUUGAUAAUUAGUUGAAAACAGUUUCCUUGAUAAGUAUCUAAAAGUGUAGAGAGUUCUCGUUUUGAUGAUGAAAUGUAAUUCACAUAUGAUUUGAUAAUAAAAAUACGUAGUAUUAUACUUGCAUCCCCCCCCCCUAAAACACCUAAAAACAUUUAAAAAGGUUCAUUAAGGGGUAUGAACUCACCGUUUACUGUAGGGUUUAAGUUUGCAAUUCGUAUAACUGCUGAGUGUCAACGGAUGUUCUGAACGCAAGUAGCCCCUAUUAAUCAUACGGUGACACAUAUAUAAGUUAGAGCUAAGGUGUUUUCAUGACUAAACAUGAGGGGAAAUCCUUCCUAAGGGCAUGGAAUCACUAAGACUAAGUGUCCCAUGUUCUAUACCCAAUGAUCUAUGCAAGUUUAAGGCCAAAUAUGAGUAUUAGGGUGUGUGUAUGGCCAUAAAGGUGAGUGUGCGGCUGGGGUAUGCGGCCAGACUUGUGAGUGAGGCUGUAGAGUGUGCGGCCGUACAGGGUGUGUGUGCGGCCGUACUCAGGGGUGUGCGGCCGUACACUCCUUGCUUGAGUCCCAUGUGUCAAUUUUGUGGCCUUACUCUCAUAUUGGAGGGUAUUAUCAGUGUGUGCGGCCACCUGAUGAAGGUGUGCGACCGCACUCCUUCAUAGGAUGAAGAACAUCAUGAGUUUGGGGCUUGGAUUCAAGUGUUUUACCUCUAUGACAAGUAAAAUGAUGGUGUUCUUCACAUUUUGGGAGUGUUCUAGGUGUUCUUGGGUGGUUUUCUAGAGAGAGAAAGGAUACAGCCAAAAGUGAAUGGAAGGGGGUCCUCUACUUUAUAUAGGGUUGAGUUUGAGGCUGGAGGGGUUUGCUGUUGGGUGUGCGGCUGGCUUGGCCGUACACACUAGUGUGCGGCCGCACACACCUCUCUUGAUGUGUUUGGCUGGAUUUUGUGAUGCAGCACCCUUCCUAAUCCCUUCUAAGGUCCAUAUCUAUGAUAUAUUAAGCCUUAAAACACUAGUGUGGACUCGACAUACUAUUAAAAGAUGCUAAAUUCAAGUGAAUUUUAGAUAUAUGGAUGGAUUGCUCAGUGUAAAAGUAUCAGGUUGUCACAUACUACACUUAUAAAGGAAAUAUUUUUCAUAUCAUCUUAUUCAUUUGAAACCCCCACAUAAAUUUCCAAGCACCACGCGCAUUUGAAAACCCCACACCUUUUCACCUUUAAAGUAAUUAAUUACACAUCAUGAAAGGUUUUAUAACUUACAUAAUAUGUUUAAUAAGCAAUUAAUGAAUAGUCUACUAUAAAAAUGUUAUACUCUUUGAGUAGACACACAAAUACAAAUUACAUACAAAAUUCUCAAAGAAAAGAAGUUUAAAGGUUUUGUGAUGGUUUGACGACUUUAGACCAUUUUUCGUGCCAUGUUAUUAUGUUAAAGUUUUUAAUUUGUAAUUUUGUUAUAUAUUAAUUCUUUUUAUUCUUUUUUUAUAUUUUUUCUUUGUUUUAGUAUUCUUUUAAGACAAUAGUUGUAUGUUAUGGUUAAAACUUUAAUGUAAAUUAUAUUAGAUUCAUGUUAUCGAUCAUAUGUUAUGGAAAGUGAUAUAGAUAAUAUUUAAUUAAAUAUUGUAUACAUGUUUGUAUGUUUGUGUUGCUUCGAAGUAAUAAUUAAUUAAAAAUCAUGGAUAUGCAAUAUAAUCCAUAGUAUCCAUGUAAGUCUCUUUUAACAUGCAAAUUGUCUACAUUAUCACUUUAUAUUUUAGUAUAUGUUUAACAUUUUAAUUAUAAUAAUAAGUGUAUUUUAAAAGUUUUUCUUUCAUUUAUUAAUAAUAAUAAGUGGUUUUAACUGAUGGACAGUAAUUAUAAAUAAUAAACUCAAAUUAUAAAAAUGAUGGAUAUAUCAUAUUAUCCAUUAAAGUCUCUUUUGAAAUGCAAAUUGUCUAUCUUAUCAGUUUAUUAUUUAGUUUAUGUUUCACAUUUUAAUAGUAAUAUUAAGUUUUUAUUAAAAUUCUUCUUUAGCUUAUUAAGAAUAAUAAAUGAUUUAAAACUAAAGAACAAUAAUUUUAAAUGAUAGUAACAUCAAUUUAUAAAUUGUAUAACGUUAACAACAAAUAAAUUGUAUUUUAAAUAAACAUCAUUAUUGAAAUUAGAUAAAAAUCGCAGUAAAAAAUUAAAUUAAUCAAUCAUAACAAUUGUUAAAAAUAAUAUUAAAUAGAUAAUUAUAUUUAAUUUUAUUGAUGAGGAAUGUGGGUUGAUGUCAAUGAAUAAUAUUGCUCAAAAUAUUAUGCCAAAGUUAAUGUUAAUAACAUAACAAUUUUAAACAUAUAUUUUUCAAUAUCUUAACAAUAUAUUUUUAACCUAUGAUGCGCAACGCGCAAGAAUUUGUCUAGUAUAUUAUAAAGGAGACCAUAAAAAAUAUCUUGUGAUUAUAAAAAAAUGCAUAAAGCAUAAACUUAAAAAAUGUUCUCAAGUAUACAUUAACAAAUAUACCAAAUGUGAAUAUUGGUUAAUAUCUAAAACUUUACAUGCACCCAAUUUGAGUUUACAUGAAUUUAUAUUUGGAAAAGUUGUAAUUGCUUUCUUACAUUAAUGGAACCACUCACAUAACACUUCAAACCCUACAAAUAUAAUCUAUCAUUUUGUGUUGACAUACAUGCAAUAUAUAUUCUAAAAAUUUCUUAUAUAGGCUAACUAUUUCAUUUAACUCAUCAAUUAAAUAGCAUGAUUUGAAGAGUUUGGGAGUUACAAAUCAUAAUAUUUCAAUUAAUCGUAAAUUAAUUUGUAUAAAUUGAGUGUUCUUGGGAGUUUCAAAUGCAUGUGGUUCAAGAAUUAUAAAGGAUACCAUUCAAAAUCAUGUGGUUAGAGAUAAUUUGUUUUUCUCAAACCUUAUUGAUUUGAAACGUAAAUGUCCUUUUAUAUUCCUUAUUUAAUGGAAUUUAUAAUAUUUAUAAAUUUCCACAUAUGUUUUGCAUUCUCUCAUUAUAUAUGAAGCUAUUUAGUACACUUUUCUUACAAAAAGCUUUCAUGUGGUUGAAGAUAUUUUGAUUCAAAAAGCUUUCAUGUAGUUCAAACAUUUAUGAUUAAAAUAUUAGUAGAAUUUCUCACAAAAAGUUUUAUUGUAGUUCAAGCGUUUACUAUCCAAAUAUAAAGAGUUAAAGAAGUGGUUUAUGUGGCAUCAAUGGUAAUUAUAAUAUUAUUUUUUCCCUUCAACCAACAAAAAUGAAGCUUUUCUAUUUUUUUCUUUAUGUUAUUUUUUCUCAUGUGAUCUUAAUAUGUGAUUUGCGUAUUGUUGAGUAUUUGAGAUAUUGAAACUGAUUUGGCAUAUUUGGUUAUUUAGGGAAGCCUUUUCAGGGUUAAUCAUUUUAUGAUUCCCUACGAUGCCUUUAUAGUAGAAGUUCUUAAUCGAGCUCUUUUAAGGCAUUGGUUUUAUAUUAGGCAUUUAUUUUAUAUUUAUGGUAGAUAUUUAUUGUUCCCUGUAAAUAAUCAUUACGUUUCCUUUUGGUGUAAGCUUUUGACCAGAUUAUGGUUUUCUCUGUACGUUCAUCUCAUAAUCAAUACAUGAAAAACCUUUAUUAGAUUUCUUGCAUAUUGUGGUGAUUGAUUCUUCAUUUUAUUUGAUAUUCUACAUUCGUCAUCUCGGAUUUAUUCUUAACAAGUGGUAUCAUAGCAGGAGACUGUGUUACUCAUACGCAUUCCUUCUGUGUGAAGAAUUCAUUAAGGUUUCCGCUUUUAUUAAAUAUAUAAAUGUCGCCUUUUUCCUGUUGACGGUAACUCCAGUGUUUGAUGAAACCCUAAUCUCCGGUUUACAAGUCUGACUCUAGCAGAUCCAGAGCACAAGUUCAUCAUGUCACACGAAGACUCUUAAAGCAAUCCCAUUAACAUCUCAAAUAGCAUUGGAUCAUCCACAAGAGUUCCCAUUCUUUACACUCAAGACUAUGAAGUGUGAGCGCAUCACUUUGAAUAUUACGUGGUUGGAUCUGAAUAUAAUGGUUAUCUCAUCUUGGAAGCUAUAACAAUCGGUCCGGUCGUUCAUGCUGGAAAUAGUAGGACAGUGAAGACUCAAAAGGAGUACAGUCAGCUUUUGGUGGAUGUAGAAAAGAUUCCACAAGAUGAAAAAGAAAAGUAGCUGUGCAAUCUCAAAGCUUUAAGGAUGAUCAGAUUUUCCCUUCAAGCCAAUACCUUCCAUCUGGUUAGUUCAUGCACUACUGCGAAAGAGAUAUGGGACAGGCUGAAAGAACUGUAUUCAACCGACGAAGAUCUGGAGCACUCAAUACAAACCUUGUUACUCUCUAAGUUCGACGCUUUUUCUCAAUAACCUAAGGAGACUCUUCUUCAGACGUUUGAUCGCUACAAUCAUCUGCUCAACAAGAUGAUGAAGCACGAUAUUGAAAGAAAGGAGAUUGAACAAAAAGUCACAUUUAUGAAUGGACUGAGACCUGAGUGGAUGGAAGUGGUCUCAACUGUAAAGGCUCAUGAACAAUUCAAAUCUUUCUCGCUGGUAAAACUAAUGGGCAUCUUAAAAUCCCAUGAAAGCACAAUAACAAAAGAAGCGAAGGUUGCGUCAGGCAUGGGCUCUUUAUCCGUCAUUUCAAAGGGGAAGAAUGUGACAGAAGAAGUAGAUGACUCAGAUUUGUCUGAGUGUGAACUUACAGGUGAAGAAUAUGCAAUGAUGAUCUUUAACCCUAAGAGGUUUGCAAGAAGGAAAUUCCCUGCCAACAAGAACCGAAACUAGCAAGGGAGUUACAGCUCCAAGAACGUGAAAGAAGAAUCGAAGAACAUCUCCCAAAAGGUUGAUGAUAAGAAAGAAAGCAAGAUAGUAGGAGAAAAAGGAUGGUGAAGAUGACGAGGCUUAUCAUACACGAAAGCUGGAAGAGCUAAAGAAAAAUAAGACACUAACAACUCUAUGAACGUCUUGAUUGUGCAGGAGAAUUUGGUAGAUGAUGAAUUUGGAGGCGUUGAAGUCUGGUCAACAGACUCUGAGGAUGAAGAAGUAAGGAAGCAUUCACAUGGCAGAGUAUAUGUUGCGAGAAAGGAAGUUAACAGUUUGACUGGGAAGUGCUUGAUUGUGACAACAGGAGUACCAACAGAAGACGAAAAAGCAGCCGAACUUGAAGGAGGACAAAUGUUUUGCAGCAAAGCCUAUGAGUGAAAGGAUUAAUGACUGCGAUCAGUUUAUCAAAAAGGUACAAUCCAUCCUCGAAUCUCUUAAAGUUCACGUCAUAAGUUAUGAAGAAGAAUUAAAUGAGAUUAAAUUUAAAUUCACUAAUCUAAGUAGUAGUCUCAUGCAAACUCGCUUAACGAACUCUAACCUAACUGACCAACUCAGCAGGGAGUCAUCGAAGAGUGAGGAGAGACACAUGUGGAUUGAGCUGAAGAAGACGGAGUUAACUAGGGCUAGGGACGAGUUAUCUAUUUACAGAGAGACAAUUUGAAGUUUUUAAAACAAAGAAACAUUUUUCGCUUAAUUGCUAAACGUUUGUAUACUAAUAUUACUCAAUUGCAUUUAGAUUGUGAACUAGGGAAAAAGAUUCAUAAGAUGAUCUUACCCUUCCUUGAGCUUAAGGAGGAUGAGGUCAUUGCUGAAUAUGAAUCCAUAAUGUCCUUAGAAGAGACUUCUGUCACUUAUAAAAUCGGUCUGGACAAAAUUGAAUCUUUCGAUCAUCAAGGAAUAUUAUUUAAACAAGUGGUAUCAGAGCUGGUUCUUGUAGAUCUCAAUGGUUUUUGCAAGAAUCGAUCUUGUUUAUGGCGAUAUUUUAUCAUGAAUCUCAACUUGUUCUUCAAGUUUUGUAAGUUUUCUGAAAAGAAAAAGUCUAUAUCUCGUUUUUUUGUUGAAAAUCUUGUUUAGAUCAGUUUUCUUCAACUCAAUAUUUCAUCUGAUUUGUUCUUGAAUCGACUUUUAGAAGAAAGUUAGAAGAAAAUUUUGUGUUUGUUUGAAUUUUCGUGUUUAGAUCUACUUUAUCUCUCUAAAAUCCAUCUCAGAUCUGUUUUCUCUCACUAAAAACCCUUUCAGAUCCAUUUUUUCUCUCUAGAAUUCGUAGCAGGUCUACUUUUUCUCUUUUCAAGUUCUAUCAUUUGUUGAAGAUCUAAUCGAUAUUUUAUUCUGUAACUCCAUUUUAAAACAUGGAUUAAAGGUCACUAAACAAAUCUAUGGUGUAAACAAAUCAACUUUGUUUCAUGUUCUUGGUGAUUCUACGUUGAGGAAUGUUACUAAGUUAUAUAAUUCUUUUGUUGAUAAGAAAAUAAAUCAUUACUAACGGGUUGAUGAACGUGAAUUGCAAAAGAAUGAGAGAAUAGUAUAACAAUUUCGUGUUAUCUAUGAACAUUUAGAUCGGGAACAUAAAAAGAUGUUGAAGAUAAAAAGGGAUGAAAAAGAAAAGGAAGAAGUUCAUGUUGUUCUUCAAGUUUCUAAAGAAAAAGUGACUCCAGAUGUUCUUGUUGAGGGGGAGUCAAGUGGUUCAUGUUUUUCAGAAGAGUUACAUUCCGAAUCAGGUACUUCAGAAGAUGAAUCGCAAAGAAAUUCAUAUGAAAUCAUGAAAGUGAAGACAUUCUGUUCUAUUGGAACUCAAAAAGAUGAUUCUUUAUGUUCUGAUGAUAUCUUUAAAGGAAUGAUUCCUUACAGAAAGCAAAUUCUUCAAGAAAUUCAGAUUUACGAAACUCCAAAAGUUUGUGUGUCAAAGUCUUCUAAUGUUCAUAUUCAGAAAGAAGAAAAAGAAGAAUAAGGAAUAGACUAUGAGGAGACCUUCACUCCUGUAGCAAGAUUGGAAUCGGUUCAAAUAUUUCUAGCAUAUGCUGCUCAUAAAAACUUCGACGUUUUUCAAAUGGAUGUGAAAUGUGCCUUCCUAAAUGGAGAACUAGAAGAAACCGUGUAUGUGGAACAAUCACUAGGGUUCGUGAAUGAGAAAUAUCCUGAUCAUUGCUAUGUAUUGGAUAAACCUAUGUAUGGACUGAAGCAAGCACCAAGGGCUUGGUAUGAAACAUUAACUCGCUUUCUUAAAAUGUCAAAAUUUAAGCAAGGUUCGGUUGACCCAACCUUCUUUCGCAAGAAAGAAGGCGAACAUCUUAUGAUCGUUCAGAUUUAUGUCGAUGAUAUCAUCUUUGGCUCCAUGAAUCCAAGCUUAACAGCUAAAUUCAGGAAGCUAAUGGAGACUAAAUUUGAAAUGAGCGCAAUGGUUCUAAUUAACUUUUUUCUUGGGUUAAAUAUAAGACAGGGAUCAGAAGGUAUUUUUAUUAACUAGAAGGCCUACAUGAAGAAUCUUUUGGAAAAAAAUUGCUAUGAAGGGAGACUCAAAGGUGAACGUUCCCAUGGCGUUUGGCACUAAGUUAACAUCAUCUUUGGAAAAGUCUGCUGUGGACAUGACUCUCUAUCGUCAAAUGAUAGGAUCUCUCAUGUAUCUAACUGCUAGUAGACCAGAUAUCAUGUUUUAUGUAUGUUAUUUUCCAGGUUUCAAGCUAAUCCAAGAGAACCUCACUUGGUGGCAGUGAAAAAUAUUUUUCGCUAUUUAAAGCGAACCUCAUCGCUCGGUUUCUGGUAUCCAACAAAAUCAGGGUUCUUUAUUCAAGGCUUUUCUAAUGCUGAUAUGGUUGGAUGCGGUCUGGAUAGAAAGAGCACAGCUGGAGGAUGUCAGUUUCUUGAUGGUAAACUAGUUAGCUGGCAAUCCAAGAAGCAGACAUGUGUGUCUCAUCAACAGCCGAAGCUGAGUAUAUUGCUGUUGCCUCAUGUACCUCACAAGUAAUAUGGAUACAAAGCCAACUAAGAGACUACAGGCUAAGUAUGAAGAAAGUACCUCUCUAUUGUGACUCAGAAAGUGUGAUAAGAAUAUGCCACAAUCCAGUCCAACAUUCAAAGACAAAACAUAUUAUGCUGAGAUGCCAUUUCAUCAAGGACCAUGUAGAAGAUGGGAACGUGGAAGUACAUUUCGUUCGGUCCUCUAAUCAAUUGGCUGACAUCUUCACUAAAGCCUUACCUGAAGUAAGCUUCAACAAAAUUUUACAAGGUUUAGGAAUGUUGGAAGUAGAGUCCAUGCCGAAUCCUAAAAUUUCUCUCUAAAAUUAGACAAGCGAAAUAUAGCGAACGCUCGGUCUAUUUCAGCUCCAUAAUUUUCGGGAACCAAAAUGAACCGAUCGCUCAGUUUAUUUCGGCUCCGGAAUUUUAAGGAACCGAAAUGAACCAAACGCUCGGUCUAUUUCGGCUCCAUAAUUUUCGGGAACCGAAAUGAACCGAUCGCUCGGUCUAUUUCGGCUCCUGAAUUUUAAGAACCGAAAUAAAUCGACUCCUCGACUUAUUUCGCUUCAUUUUUUUUGGUUUGAUUUUGGCUGUAAAUUUUUUUUUAUUUCUUUCACUAGUUUCUCUUUCAUUGUUGUUUAUUUUUUUAGUGUUUUUUGUUUUUUUAAUUUUAUUUUAUUAAUUUUUUUUUGUUUUGUUUGUUUCUUUUUAUGUUUUUUUCUUAUUAUUUUUUCUUUCAGAAAAUUUCAAAAAUCCAAAAACAUUUUUCUAAACGUUUUCUUUUGCUUCGUUUGUUUUGUCCGUAUGGUUUGCUUGUUUGCUUGUUCCUUUUAAUUAGGUCCCAAGUAUUUCAGUACAACAUAAUUUGAAGUUAAGGUAGAUAUGAUUCUUUUCCUAUGUACUAGUUAAGGGUCCCUAGAAGCAUGCUGUUGCAUGUCGACCGAACCCUCUAAGACUAAGAGCAAAGCCUUAAUGAAUCGAUUUAUACCUAUCGUUUCUUCCCAAACAGGCUAGUUAAUUCACUCUAGUCAAGAGCUACCUUACUCUUCUUAAAUGUGUUAAGAGUUUUCUGCUUUGUCACAAUUAUAUAGCAGAGGUAUUUUCGGUUCCUAAACCACCUCCUUUACACUCUCCAUCAACUUUCGGUUCAUCACUGUAACCCUUGAGACUCUCAACUUUUACCACUGAGGUGUAUGGUUGCAUAAAAUUUGUGUUUAUGAUCUUAGAUACGUAAACCACAUGCUGAGUGAAACCCACAAUCCAACACCAACAAUCAACUGACGGUGAAUCUUCAUAUUCAAGCUCUCACUUGUUACCUAACACAAUCUCAUUUUGUUUUUUAGCGAUCUUUUAUGAAAUUGUCUAGUACCAAGGCAUUUCUUCCCAAAAAGAUCCAUUUUUUUUUGUUUUUAUUGAGAUUUAUAUACUCUCAUUAGUCACAACAAUGUAUAUCCAACCUACUUGUUCAACAUAUCACAUCGGUCUCACAAGUAUUUCGGCCAACUUUCGGUCUUAUGUUGAGUAUCAAAGUUCGGUUGAAUUUUAGCCACCCACUAGAGCCUAUGUAUGAAAAGAUGCCUUUCAAUGUUUCUUAACAUACAUUUGAUCGUACUCUAACGGGAAACCAAACAAGCACUUCAGGUCUCCCUUGACCUUGAAGGAAGAGAUUCGUGCACGAGAUCAGUUGUUUUGUGUCUUAUUUGACAUCACUCAUAUCCCAUACACAUAUUGAUUUAUUUCUUUUUCUUUGGCACCCUAAUGCACAAAAAUUUUCAUGAUUUUCCAAUACUCUUGUACGCAAUGCUUACGAAUUGGUUUGGAUUUCACAAUUUUGAGGAAGCGAUCAUCGUAUUCUGUGAUGCGUGUGAAGAAAGGGAUGCGAUAGUUGAUCGGAUAAGAAGUUGAAAUGUGUUUUUGGAUAAGUUCAAAACCGAGUGCGUGAAUUUGAGACGGCUCCUAAUACCAUGCUUGAUGACGUCUAUCUGGGGAAACCAAGCUGUCAUAUCCCUACUUUCCAGGCACUUUUUCAGAGAUCGUAUCAUAAUUACAAAAAAAAUUCUUUUUCUCUCUCCUGGGAACCGUAUAUAAAGGAUAUGUUACACUAUUGCACCUUCUUACCUUCCUCACCAUUCUCUCAGAUAUAUCAGACGAAAUUCUACUGUUCAUCUUCUUCCCAUCAAUAAUGGUGGAUUCUUCAUCUCUUUAAGAUCAGAUAGCUUCAUCUUAUUUACUUGUGAUUAAACCUAAUCAAAACAUGAUAAUUCAAAUGAAUCCAUUCCUAUAUGAUUCAUACAUGCUUCAAGUCAUCGAAUAUCUCAAAUACUCCCCUCUUGUAGUUGCUCUCACACAAGUGGAAUCUAUUCCCAUGUCAAUGUUGUCUCAAGUAUAUUCCACUGCAACCUAUGACAAAAACAAAGAGAGAAUCUUCUUUCAGAUUCAUAAUACCAAGGCUUCUAUUUCAAAAGGACGAUUUUGCUCUCUACUAGGGCUUGCAGUAGACGCCUCAAUCAUCUCCCCAGACUUUAUUACUACGACUCAACUGUUCUCAAUGUUCUAUGAGAUGGGCUACACUGAGCUGCUCACCACCUUCACCAAAUUCAAGAAAUAUUGUUUACCCCCUCAAUGGAAUGGGCUGCUCACUCUUCUUCAUAAAGGAUUACCCGAACGGUUAGGCGGAUCAGAUGGUUCAAACAAGGCUUUCAUGACCAUUAUGUACGGUCUUUACAGUGGAAUCAACUUAGACUAUGGUUCCUUAAUCUGGUUUCAGCUGGUGCAGAGUUUGAAUUCCUCUACCAAGCAUUCUGAAAUCUCCUGUGAUCAUUGUUGGACGAUUGUCGCUCAAAGGGCAAUAACCUCUGUCCAGGUUCCAGUCAUGAAGGAUUCUCUGCUCUCCUUUGUCUCCUCCUUCCAUACCAAAACGAGAAUCGUGACUAAUCCAACCAAGUUUUCACACGAUGUUUCUAUUCCGGAAACAAUGUACCGGUCUGUUUCUCAGGAAAGUAAACUUAUCUCUGAAUACAAGUUGCUUCCUCCAAAGACUCCGCGAACAUUGAAUCCUGAGAUGCAAGUAGCCUUACGAGAGGUUAAGAAGCCUGCCAAACGAGGGAAGAAAGCCAUUCUUAAGAAAGAAGACACUGAAGGUACCUCUUCCAAACCUACUAAGUCCAAGAAAAGGAAUGCUGGCAAAGGUGAUUCCUCUGUUCCCAAGAAAGUAAAGAAAACGGCUCGCAGAAAACCAAAUCCUUCACUUUCACAUUCAGAACAGCAAAAUGCACAAUCUGCUGGAGAGGAAGAGGAAGAACAACAGUUCAGGCUUUAGAUGUUUCUCUACUCCCAACUUCCUUACAACUUACUUCUACCGUUGCUCUAACACCACUUGUAUGCACAAUCCCAAUCUCUACUUCUCCUCUUCCACCUCCCAUUAUUUCCCAAACAACCGAUGCAACUAUCAACUCUGUACCCAUCAUUACCACCACAACUGAUUCUUCAUUUAAAGUCAACACAUAUGAUGUGGGGGCGAAGACUGAAGAACCUCCUAAAGUCACUCUUGAGCCUAUUUCCCCAACUGCUUCCAGUUAGUCUGGUGCUGUUCUUGGAGGAGCUGAAUUCGAAUUUGAUUCCACUUACUUUAGCUCGUACAAACUUCCAAGUGAUGACGAUAAGGCUACUCCGGUGACCAAGCAACAGCUCGACAGUGUUCAUGAAAAGCUUGAUACACUGAUCGACUCCAUGAAGAAGUACAAUGAUGUCGUUCUGAAAGCCUUCAUGGAUACAACUCUGCACCAAUAUAAUGAAGCCAUUGAUAAAUCCACGGUUGCUGUAGAUGACUCUACUUCUCUGUGCAAACGAGCCACAACUGAUAUUAAAGAACUCAUUCAAGACUCCAAGGUCUUUCUUGACUCUCUCAAGGGUCAUGCUAAAACGAACGUGGCAACGGUAACUGCAUCAGUUGCUUCACUAUCUCAGUUUCUUCAAGGGGAACAAGCAAAGUUCGAGACUCUAUGCUCUGAUGUCUUUACUGAUAAUAAAACCUUUCUGGCAUCUGUUGAUUAUCGGUUAGAAAAGCUUAAUGUUGAUUUCCAGGUGGAAAGGCAACUCCGAGAUGAUCUUGCUCAACAGACUGCUUUAUUUGAAGUGCAGAAACAAAAACUUACCAAGGCAGAAAGAGAGAUUUCGUUAUUAAAAACCGAACGAGCAUUUUUUUCAUAGUUGUGCUGGGGAUGUUCUUUCUCAGUUGCACAAUGUGCUUCAGGCUCAUGAUCCCAUUCUUCCACUUACCAUUGGAAAUCAUUUGACCUCCAAACUCGUUCCAACAAUCAAACUCUUAAGAGAAAUGAAGGAUGUUUCAGAGAGAAUUGUUCUUUUGGAACAAGGGGGAGAAGGUAACUCAUAACCGAAGUUCAUCUUCAAAACCGAACCGAAGGAUAGUGUAGCUUCGGGUUCUGGUGAUAAAGAAAAUAAGAAUGGUGUUUCUACUGAUGAUAGUGACAAUGAAGAAAAGACUAUCGUCGAUGCCCUCAACGCAAGAAAAAGGAUAAGGGGUUAGGUGAAACUCUUCAUGUCGUUAAGGAAGAUGAAGAUAGAGAAAAAAAAAGAAGAAAGAAGAGGAUGAUGCACUGAGUUGCAAGAAGAUGUUGUUCCCUUCUUGGACUAUGGAAACACUGAUCAAAGAAGCUAUAGAGUUUCCAAGCACCUACUAGCUGGAGCCUGUAACCUCUUUUGAUUGUGAGAAUACAAGGGAUUCGCAGUUUGACAUGCCUAUUACUCGAAAGGCAUUUGUUUUCCAUUUUUUUGAGCCAACAGUUGAAGUCCUUUCGCCCCAUCCUCAGGUCGACCGUGAACUCAUUGAUUUUUAUCUCAAGUUUAGUCAGCCUUAGUAUCUGACCUGGAGUGCGCAGAACAUUACUACAGGCAAGUGUCUUGAGGAAGAAACCAACGGUGAAGCCUACUACGAAGUCAGGAGAUGUCAACAAAAUGACUCUUGGUCAAAUUGAUUCCGCUCACCUCAUAGUUAUGUUUACAAGAGCCAAAGGCGAAAGGUUCUUAUUUGCUCUUGUUGACAAACACUUGUUCUCGACCGACUGCCUUGAACAUAUCAUUAAUAUCAUUCAUCGGUGAAAGGCGAAUUCCGAUUCAGAUAAGAAGAACUUCACAGACAUGCUCCGGUGGUAUAUUACUUUUAGAAAAACUCUUUUGGCCAUCAUACCGAGCGUGUUUAAGACAGUCAAGAAGUAUGCUGCAGCUCAACCGAAGUGAGCUCUUGGCUCCAUUGAAGCAAAGGGGGAGAUUGUUGGGUAUUAUGUGUUGCGUCAUGGGCCAUUAUUUUGUAUGUCUGGUUUAGUCGUGUC